rnacentral:lncRNA from 1 species
CUCCAGAGGCACCUCCUUGAAGAGUUUCUCUACCUUAACCGAAUGACCUAAAAGACUAUCACAGACACCCCACACACAGUCUCCUCGAAGUGCACAUCCAGUGCCCCAGAAAUGUUAUAUGCCGCAUAUGAAUGGGUUGAUCCCACAUCAAUCAGAGCAGUAUAAGGUACACCAUAGAUAAAAAACGUACCAGUUAUGACAUCAGGUGCGUCACCCUCCUCGCGGCGACGAGCAGCAUACACAAAAGCUGGCUGACGAGCAUCCGCGUUACCAAUACCCCUGCCGGGUGCCCCACGUCCACAGCCAUUACCACCGCGACCUUGUCCACGACCUCUUGGCAGCGGCGGUCCAUCCCUCACAGGUUGAGCCGGUCGCAUAGCCCCUUGUUCGGCCACCUGAGCCUGAGUGGCCCUCCUAGGACAAUCCUUAAUCCUAUGCUCCUUAGACCCACAACGAAGACAAGCCCCAGAACACUUCCAGCACUCUCCUUGAUGCAUUCUGCCGCAAUCCCCACAAGCUUGCGGUCUACCUGUGUUCAUCAGAACUGCUCGAACCGGUUCCUCCAUCCUAGCUCUCUUAGCAUUUCGAUUUGUAGCACCCGCUGGUCCAGCAUCCCUCCUGAACUGAUUCCGAUCCCUAUCAUGAUUCUCUCAUUCGGUUUGUUUCACCUCCUCAACUAUCUUAGCCUUCUCUACUAGUGCAGCAAAAUCUCGCACUCUCUACGGAGCUAUGAGCACCCUUAACUCAUCUCUGAGGCCAUUCUCAAAACGAACGCUGCGCUCGUAUUCAGUGCAAACGAUGCCAUUAGCAUACCGACUCAAUCGUAGAAACUCCGCCUCAUAUUCAGCAAUGGUCUUAUUUCCCUGAGUCAGAUUCAAGAACUCCUUUCUGCGUGCGUCCACAUAGCUAGCUCCAACAUAUUUUGCCUUAAAAGUCUGUUUAAACAGCUCCCAUGUUACCCUCUCAGCUGGGGUACCCUCUCUCACAGUAAUCCACCACUGAUACGCUUCAUCCCGCAGCAACGACACCGCCCCUUUCAACUUCUGUUCUACUGAGCAGUCCAGGUCAUCCAUGAUCCGCUCCGUGGCUUCCAACCAGUAUUCAGCCACAUUUGGGGCCACUCCAGAUACGCCCCUAAAAAUUUCAGCUCCGUUGGCCCGAAGGCAUUCAGAAAUGGACCCCCUAUUCAUGGGCCCGAUGUUAGCUCCGGCCACCCUUUCCAAAACCCUCAACAUGGCCUGAGACAGAGCGUCAGCCCCUGCAGCCCGGUCAUAUGGCCCAUUUUCAUUAACCGGUGGUGGACGUACCUCACCAGCUGGCAUGUGUUCAGAUGACGCAGAUCCAGCUUGAGUGCUACCUCGGCCUCGACCACGGCCUCUUCCUCGAGUAGCCCUUGUACUCAUAACGAUUUAUCUGAUUACGAAUUUUAUGACAUUAGUUUACUGGUUCCACUGUUUAUUAAUGAAUGUCUUAUGAACAGAUAGAGUUUCAGAGUUAUUUUCGCGCAAUCACAAUUUAGCUACGGUCCCAGUUUUGUAGCCCUAAUACUACCUUAUCAAUAGCACUAUCUCUAAGGCUCAGUACUAUCUAUAGUAUUAUUUCCAGUCCAGUUCCAUAUAAAUAUUUAAAGUAGAAAAAGAACACUUACAGACUUGGUGCCGGGGAUUCAGUGUGCCACUUCUUUAUCAGUCUAUAAAAAACCCAUGUUUUUGUUUACCGAAAAUAAAAAGAUUUCAUUUGAAAACACUUUUAUUUUAAAACUAUUGAUUUAACCUCGUUCAAUAGAAAAACUUUGAACAUCUUUGAAAAACUUAUAGAAAAAACUUUUAACCCCGAUCUACAGCCGAGUUGUUACAACCAGGCUCUGAUACCACUAAAUGUAAUACCCCAAACCCGGCCUAGACGUUAUGACCAGAUCUGAUGCGCCACAUCGAAGUGUUCAAAACAUUCCGUAUUACUUAGUUGGAAAACUUAGUUGGUGUUGUAAAAGACACUUUUAAAAGUAGGUUAAAGUGAAUGGAAGCUGUGCACUAGGUAGGAAACCAGGAAGAAGAGGAGGUGAGUCCGUCGGACUGCUUAAGUACCAAGCUCCCUUCGGAUCCAAUCCUAGACAUGCACACUGCCAUUGCCACACUCUAACAUCUCGUAUAACUUUGAGAAAACCGUUUGGUUAGGUCCAUUUUAAGAAAAUGAUUAAGGUUGAAAACGUUUGCUUAGCGGAAGUCUUACUCGUAUUCGUGUUAUUUUGGAAUCACUUAAUUUUUUUGAAAAUGCAUCCUAGAGCUAAUCUAUUUCGUUAGUUAUCAUAGAUCAGUUUUAUCAUAAUAGAAUUAAAUAAUAAAGAAACAACCCAAACCAUAAAAAUAAUUAGCGGCCUUAUUACAAAAAAAACCCAAAACCAUAAACGAAAAUAUGGAAAAUCUAGUUCACCAGAAGAAAACGAAUUUGCAGAAAACGUGUGGCCACUCUGAAUCCCGCCCAGCUCCAAGUCCACCAACUAGGGCUCACCUGCAAGGAUGGAAGAAAAAGAGGUGAGUUUGGGAAAACUCAGUGUAUACAGAAACCCAUCCAAAGCCCAAAUCAGCUCGAGCCCAUUGGGCCUAAGCCCCAUUCAGAUAACAGUACACAGUGGACCAAAUCCCUUUUCAGAACACAAUAGCAAGGCCUUAGCCCUUUUUAACAUAACAGUGUGUCCCAUAGGCCCAGUUCAGUAACAUAGGUAACAAUAGUAGUAAUGCGUGCAAACCCAUCUGGGGAGACUACUCAACCCACCAACCGCUACACUGCCCCGUACCAGCCCUACACUCCAUGUGGGGAAUAUCUCAACCCACCCAGCCCUACACUCCACAGUUGCAGCAACGCUGCUCAAAUAUCAGUAAGUUGAGGCAAAGCCUCCAGUACGUGGAUGAACCACUUUCAAUACUUCCUCCAUCAAUACCCCAAUCCCAUGCAACAGAUAUUAAUAAAGCAUAUCAUGUACAAUACAGUAUUAAUCAAUCAUGCAGUUUAGCUAAUUUAAACCCUAGGGGUAUUUCGGUAAUUAUGCUCUUUAGGGGUAAUUUCGUACUUACGCAACUACACAAGUUAUUUUAGUAAUUUUUAGCCGUUUUAUGCAAUUUGGUUCCACCAUCUAACUAACAUGCUACUUUGCCCAUCUCUUACCCAUAUUGGUCCGUUAGCCCAUUGGGCCCAGUUUUGGCCCAUCGAGGCCCUCUUUUUCCGAAGUACGUUAAGACGUAACACAAACUUACUUACCACCUUGCGGUGCUAGAUCUAACAAUUACUCUACGUCUUUGAGAGCAUUUGCAUACUCACAAGCCCAUGAAAUGCCAGAAUUUCGGUAUUUCUGCUUUUGCCGAAUUGAACUAAGAAAGGGUGUUCGGUACACACCUGAUUCGCGAUGACUGCUACUGAGAUCUCUUCUGAUGUCCUAAAAUUGAUUAGCACAGUUCUUAUUUACAAACCAUAAUCACUAAACCCCAAAACUUACUUAUCCAUGAUCGAACCAUGUCCCUAAAAGCCUUUGAAACCUUACCUUUUUGCCAAAAUCGAUAGCUAGCUCCGAAUCUGAUUGCUCCAACAACCCACGCCUUCAAUCCAACACUUAAGAAGACACUAAUCAUUGACAGAAAACGUCAGUUAAAAACCCUUAGAGCCACAUGCCCAAAUCGACAGCCUCCCUAGAUUUUAGGGACUUUGGCUUUUCCUAACUUUGUAAAAUAUGACCAGAUCUGAGAUGAUGAACACUUACCCCUUACUCCUCUUUGAUCUCCAUGCAAUCUGAUACAGAUUUAUCUUUCAAACGACGGUAGAACUCGACUCCCAAAGUUUUGAAGUUUCGGCUAUAAGCCCCCAAAUCUAUGGUUUUUCGGCUUUUGGGUGAUGAAGGAGAUGACAAUGUGGAACUAUAACCUGGAUGUAGAAUUGCCAACAGGUCUCUAGAGUUCAGAAAGAAUAAUCAUUGAUUAAUGGAAACACAAUGUUAAAGGUUUUGGCUCUGAAGAAAUCGGUACCUGUAAUGUGUGUUCAAGAUUUCGGCUUUUAUGGAUUCGGCAAAAGUAUUGAUGAACAGCAGAAUUGAUGAAUAGUUUUGAAGAAGAAAAAUAGAAAAAGAAGAAUAGGGGAAGUGGUAGUUUCGGCUAAAGAGUAAAAAGAGAGAAAAGAAAAACCUUGUGAUGUCUGAGCAGAAAGGAACGGCACCACUCAAUACCCUAGGUGCCGAAAUACUAACCUCAUAACCCUCUGCCGAUUUUUCCCCUUUCAAUUCCCAAAAUUCGGCCAACUCCUAACCUCUCUCCUAAUCCCUUAAAUCUCUCCCCUUAUCACUCCUUAAUCCAAGCGUUUGGACUGAUCCAAACUCUCCUUUAGCAGAAUCCACCUGGACUCCAACACUACCCCUCCUGCACUUAAAAAUAAUUGCAUCUCUUUGUCAACACAGGGAAUCGAUCCCAUGCCUCCCUCAAAGCUCCACACGCCACCUUUUUAGGAGCCUAGUGGCAUCACCCUGGCCACUUUACCAAGGCUCUUUUUGUGAUGCAAUUUGCCUAUAACUCUAUACAAUGACCAUCUAGCCAGAACCCCUAACUCCUAAGUCCUAAAAUUCAAAAAUUCAACCGGGUUUUGGCAAACACAUGGGCCUUCUAUAAGCCCAUUUACCUACUCAAAAUAUUAAUUUCACAUCCGAAUACAAAAUUUUAAAAUCUUUACAAAUAUUGAAAACCGCGAAUAAAUCCGAAAAUCAGGAUGUUACAACAAAGGUUGCCAAAAGAAAAGAAAAAGAAGAAAAAAACAAAUUAUAGAAGAUGACCGAGACUGGUAAAAAUUGGCAUAAGAAACUACCGCAUACUCUCUAUGCUUACGCUGGGGCAAACACCUUCAAUUCCAGUUGUUUCAAAGGUUCCAACCAUCAUCCUUGGAAUGGGUGCAUUGUUUGGCUUUCCUGAGCAGUCUAAUGUGCUGUCAAUAGCUACAAUGGUUAGCUCCAGGAGGUGGCCAUUGAUUUCCAGCUAUGGGGCAUCAAGCCGUACACAGUCUCUGAAGCUUAAAAUGAUAGAUUCUUUCUUCAAAACCAAUUUUUGACAAAAUGGAUGACGGUAUCAUGAAGGAAACUCUCUUAGACUUCUAUACAAGUUCAGAGAAGAGGAAGCCUGAUCAAGUCAUGAAUAUAGCGAGUCUCAGUUCAGUCAAAUGAUGAACAAAUGAUUUGAUCAAGUUAUCGAGACUUUAGGGAUCUCCUGACAAUGUGCUACAUGGUACUGUCAUUGACAACAAAGUAUGCCAUCCAAAGAACAAUGAUUUUUACCUUGGUACCCAUGCUAGAAUGAUUGGAGUCACGAGGCAGACCCACUAUCAUGUUCUCUUAGACCAGGCUGGGUUUUCGGCUGAUGAUCUGCAAGAGUUUGUUCAUUCUCUAUCCUACAUGUAUCAAAGGAGCACUACACCCAUAUUUGUUGUGGCUUCUAUUUGCUACGCUCUUUUGGCAGCUUCACAGUUGGGGGCAAUUUAUGAAGAUUAGGGAUGCUUCAGAAACAUCAUCGAGUCAUGCUGGGAUGUAUGUUUCGGGAGUAAUCCCUAUACCUCAGCUUUCCAUGUUGAAGGAUAAAGUCAGCAACUUCAUUCUUGUCUGCUGAGAAUCAUUGAACCAUUUUUUUGUAGGGUUUGACAAACAACAGCCAGGACUGCUGCUGGGGCAAUCCCUUUCUCAUGGGUUUAUGAAUCAAGAUUUUUCCUCCAAGCUUUGAUGGAGUCAAGAAUUGAAUACCUCUAGUAAACUUAACUUGAAAGUAUUCAUCCUAAGCAAAUGUACCAAGAAUGGAUGACACAGACUUAUGACAAAGAAUAUUCAUCCAAAAGAAUUUCAUAAAGGAAACCUUGUGCUAAAAGAGAUCUUUCCCAUGCAAAAGGAGUACUUUGUGUGAAAGAGAAGGGAAGCCAAGGUGAAAACCCGCAAAGGGCACUUUGGGACUUCUAUUUCAAAAAAAAAGGAAAAAAGAUAAAAAAAAGAGGAAAAGAGAAAAAAAAAUAGAAAAAAGAAUAUAGAAAAAAAAUGGAGAGGCUAAGAUGAAAACCCGUAAAGGGCACUUUGAGACCAAAGGGGUUUUGAGUUGAAAACCCGAAAGGGCAGCUCAAAUUUGGAAAGCCAUGCAGUGGCCUUGUUAUACCAGAUUCGACGAGAAGUGAAGUAUGUUACAUAUCGAGGUAUCAACGAAUUACUUUGGAUCUUUUAAACACAUGUUGAACUCAAGAAAGUCUUCAUAAAGCUGGUGUAUAGACGCUCAAGCGGCGAUAUCUGGGCCAUCUGAUUUCUGUCCUAUUUACUAUAUUUGGAUUCUUUUUCUUUGCAAAGAUAUGUUCUCAGGUUAAUCUUUUUGCAUUCCUUCCAAUAAUUUGUCCAAAUCUAAUUAUCCUCAGGAUCAAUUUAUUUGUCUCCCAUUAUUCAUAAAUCAUGUUGCAUUGAAAUAAUGAUAGAUGAACUAAAAUAUCUUCACAAACGAAGUUUUGCAUAUUACUCUGGAAAUUUCUAGAUAAUACAAUAAACUGAACCAAGACAAUUGUUUAAGGAAUUCUCAUAUGUAUGGGUUGGAGAUACUCGAGAGAUUUUCUUCUUCAGUCCAAAAGGUGGUUGGACGUUUUAAGCAAUAUUGAUCUUAAGAAAUGAUCAUUUCAUAAACAUCUUCAGUGGGUCGUAACAUUCGGGGAAUGGUACGGUAGACCAAAUUGAUGGAGAAGAUUCGAGGCAUACAAGCAGAGUAUGAUUGAUAUAUCGAGAAGAACGAGGUGGAAAGAUCUAUACAUGAAUGAGUGAUGACGUUUGAAAUAGGAGUUAUUUUCAUAAACAUUUUGCAUCAUAAUAUGUCUAAUUAGGAGCAUUUGACUCAUUUCGAUCAUGGCAUCUUAAUUAUUUGGCAUAAGCAUAAAUUCCAGGAAAUCAAUUCUACAGGUGGAUUACCCAGUGCACAAUGUAGCAAGGUUGAUUGAAAAUUACAAAAUUCAGUGCCUUAAUCCCCUAAGCAGUAGGGUAACAGGUUAAAUUUACAGAUCUUAUUUCCCUAAGCAGUAGUGGAGCAGAUCAAAGACUCGCCUUAAUCCCCUAAGCAGUAGGGUAACAGGUUAAAUUUGCAGAUCUUAUCUCCCUAAGCAGUAGUGGAGCAGAUCGAAGACUCACUUUAAUCCCCUAAGCAGUAGGGUAACAGGUUAAAUUUGCAGAUCUUAUCUCCCUAAGCAGUAGUGGGGCAGAUCGAAGACUCGCCUUAAUCCCCUAAGUACUAGGGUAACAGGUUAAAUUUGCAGAUCUUAUUUCCCUAAGCAGUAGUGGAACAGAUCGAAGACUCGCCUUAAUCCCUUAAGCGGUAGGGUAACAGGUUAAAUUUGCAGAUCUUAUCUCCCUAAGCAGUAGUGGAGCAGAUCGAAGACUCGUCUUAAUCCCCUAAGCAGUAGGGUAACAGGUUCGUAGAUCUUAUCUCCCUAAGCAGUAGCGAAGCAGAUCGACAACGACUCGCCUUAAUCCCCUAAGCAGUAGGGUAACAUAUUAAAUUUGCAUAUCUUAUCUCCCUAAGCAGUAGUGGAGCAGAUCGAAGACCCGCCUUAAUCCCCUAAGCAGUAGGGUAACCGGUUAAAUUUGCAGAUCUUAUCCCUAAGCAGUAGCGGAGCAGAUCAAAGACGAUGCACCUUAACCCCCUAAGUAGUAGGGUCCAAGAUGAUGUGGUAUCUCUGCAAUGACAGGGAACAAGUCGAAGAUAGCAGAUCGGGCGUCUCUAUAUUUGACAGAGAGCAAAUCGAAGAUAUAGCAAAUUUGGCUUCCGGAUGUUCUCACACCAAAGCAGAUCCAAGAUAAGCGAUCUAGCAUCUUCAUUUCGACGGAGAGCAGAUACAUAGUAGAUCUAACCUUCAUAUGAUUUUACUGAAGCAGAUCCAAGAUGAUUUGGCAUUUUUGUGUUCAUAAGGAGCAAAUCGAAGAUAUAGCAGAUUUGGCUUUUACGUGUUUACGCUGAAGUAGAUCUAAGAUGAUUUGGCAUUUCUGUAUUAUCAGAAAACAGAUCGAAGAUAACAGAUUUGGCGUCUCUGUAUUAGACGGGGAGCAGGUCAAAGAUAGUAGACAUCGCCUUCUUGAGUUGCAGUGAACCAGAUUGAAGCCGUCAGGAGGCCAUUUAAAGAAGAUCAAGGAUCAAGAACUUAAGACUCGACGAGCCCGGGCAAAAUUGGUCCUUUUAUAGUCUUUGCUCUAUUCCUGUUACCCAGCAAUGAGCAAAGAAGGGCAGCUGUAGACACUCAAUUUUGCCCGGGCCCAGAAAUAAGUUCAAAAAAAAAAACAAAGUCCAAGUCCAGUACAAAAUUACAAACAUAUAAUUUGGCCCAAUCGAAAUGGCCCAUUACUUGAAAAGAUUGAAGAUCCAUCUAUGGGCUUGACUCAUAUGGAAAUAUAAUCUUUAAGGAUAUGCAAUCUUAGAUAUGAUAUGCAAUCUUAGAUAUGAUACAAUCUUAGAUAUGAUAUGCAAUCUUGAAGAUAUGAUCUUGUAAUCUUGGAGAUUUAAUUUGUAGAUAUCCUUUAAUCUUAACCGUUGAUGUAAUUGAUCUGUACCGUUGGAUAUGGGGAGGGUCAACUAUAAAUAGAGGUCUCUCCCUUCAUUGUAAAUCACUGGAGUUUUGGGAAGCAAUAAGAAUUCUUGAGAGCAUUCACUCAAAUUUCUCUCCCUCUUGCGUUCUUACUCUCUGUGGUUUGUUCUUAUUUUAUUCUUCGUCUAUCUUAGUUUUUCAACCCUUUUUUUAUUUUAAUUUCUUCACUUUUCAAAUAUGUAUAUUUAUUCCUAUCUUUUAUACAUUUGAUUAUGUAUUUUAUAUAUUAUAAUAUUUAACCUUUUUAUAUAGUUUAUUUUCAAAUAUAUAUUUUCUAUGCAUGUAUAUAUAUUAUAUUAUCAUUUCAUGUAUUUUGAACUACUGCAUUAUAUUUUUAUAAUUUGUAAAUGUUCUAUUUAUUCAUUUUUUUAGUGUAUGUCAUUUAUCUUAUUUGUGCAUAGUUUCAUUUUUUUAUAUGCUAUGUUUAAUUAUUUCUUUUAUAUGCUAUUUUAUGAUAUAUAUUGUUGUAUAAUUUUUGCAUGUAUUAUGUUUUUUCUUUUAAUUUACUCAUAUUUUUAUUUGUUUAUUAUCUUAUAUUUACCCUAGUAUGAUUUUUUUCAUUAAACGUAUGUUCAUGUUAUUUAGUUUUGUCUUAAUGAUAUUAUUUAUGUUUGUAUGGAAAUGUUAGAAUAUUUUGUACAUCUAUGCUUCAUGAUGCAUUAAUAUGUCAUCCUAAAACGUCAUUUAAAAUAAUAUUCCAAGGUUUUUUUUUAAAAAAAAUAAAAGGCAAUGCUUGAUGUUUGGAAACUUCGAGAAAAGUAGUGCCCUAACUUACUGGGUUGCGACUUUUCUCGUUGAAUUCGAAUAGUCAAGCACCCUUCUAAGUGAUUUUGAGUUUUCAAAACUUAAACAAUUAUUUCGAGGUUUCAAAAUAUAGUGUCCUAACUUACUGGAUAUGGCGUUUUGUUGUUUCGAGAUAGAAAUUUUUGAAAGACGAGCUUAGUUUCAAAGGUUUUAAAAUGUUGCAUCCUAACUUACUAGAUGUGAUGUUUUGAUUCGUUUAAAAUAAGUGAGCCUUAAUUUUCAAAAUUAAGACAUUCUAAUUAAAAGAGAUUUGCAUCUUAAAACUUUCAAAUUUCUGACAUUAAAGACACUUGAUAAUCAAUUAAGUACCAAUUUUUGGGCGUUACGAGGGUGCUAACCCUUCCUCGUACGUAACCGACUCCCGAAUCUAUUUUCUCGACUUUCGUAGACCAAAAUUAAUGUUUUAAAACAAAACAUUUUAUAAGGUGAUCCAAUCACACCUAAAAAGAUUGGUGGCGACUCCCGUUUUCGUUUUUCUUAAAGUCGAUUCUCAUUUUCCAAAACUCGAUUUAAAAAUGGUUUCGACACUUAUCAUAUCUGGUGUAUGGUUGUUAUAUGAAUGUCUAGCUGGUGAAUUGAAAUUUUGGUUAUCAUGUAUAUGAGCUUGAUAAGUGGCAUGUAUAUUAAGUGUUUGUAUAAGGAUGCAUAUAUGUGUUUGACCAUUUAGGUAUGUUUGGGAUGCAUAAUUUGCAUGUUUAUAAAUGGUCAAUUAAGGUGCCUAUGGGCAUCAUGGUUGUAUAUGUUGAUAUGGGCAUCAUGGUUGUAUAUGUUGAUAUUACAUGAUUUAAUCUUGAUUUUGGUUGGUUUUGAAUGCCUGUUUGUGUCAUGGUUAUGUGCAAAUUGUUGAUUUAAGUUGGUACCAAAUUUGGGUGAGAAAUAUGGCUUGGAACAUGACCUACUUUUGUCCACACGGGCAGAGACACAGGCGUGUGUCUCAUCCAUGUGUGACACACGCCAGAUGACAUGACAUUGUGUCUCAUAUAAAUUUUAAAUUGUACAAUUUAGUAGCCUCACACAGCCUAGCACAUGGGCGUAUGGCUUGAAUGUGUGUCGCAAGUCAGUAUGCUCAUUAUUUUUCACACGGCCUAGCACAAAGGCGUGUGGCUUAACCAUGUGACCUAAGUUAGUAAGCUCACUAGUUUGAAUUCGGGCUAGGACACGGGCAUGUGUCCCCAUUUUGAAUGCCCAAAUGGCCUAAGACACACGGCCACAUGGGCGUGUGUCCCCUACACCUUUGAAAAAUUUCCAUGUUUUUCGAAAAAUUCUUUGAGUACUCGAUUUAGUCCCGACUUGUUUUUAAUGUUUAUUUUGGGCCUCGAGGCUCGUAUUAGGGACUAUAUGAUUGACUGUGAUUGGUUUUUUAUUUGAAUGUGAGAUGAAAAUGAAAUGUUUACUUGUCCAAUUGUAAGUUUAUUAAUGCUUCGUAACCCUGUUUUGGCGUCGGAUAUGGGUUAGGGGUGUUACAUUAGCCUUAGUCAAAAUUUGGAUGCUGAUGAGAAAACUAUUUUGUUUUAUAGUUGAAAAUGUUAGCAGAACCAAAAAACGUUGAUAAUGAUGACAUGAAUAAUAAUGGUCACCCGGUUGAUAACAAAAAUAGGAUUUGGGUCAAAGCACUUAGUGAAUAUUUAGCUAAUGCUUAACAACAUAGGACUGUGAGAUCUCGACAAGAAGAUCAAGGUAAUGAGGGAUUAUCAUAGUGGAAAUCUUUUAGAGAAUAGCGAGAAUUGCUCCAAAAACUACUUCUGCAACCUCUACUAGACGCACUCCAAUAAAAGAACUACUAAAGUAUAGUGCCCUAGAGCUUAUAAAAAUAAAACGGGUCGAUCUUUUGGUAGCCAAAAUGCUGCUAGAGGCAAUGAACCGAGAACUUCAAUAGUUAGAAUGCACGCCCCAUGAAUGUGUUAUAUUUGAAAUUUCUCUUCUAUAAGGAGAAGCAUACAAUUGGUGGCAAACUAUUAUUCAUGUGCCUGCUCAUCGGAUUGGCUGGGAUUUCUUUCAAUCUGAAUUCCAGAAAAGGUACGUCAGUGAAUUAUAUUUAGAGGACAGAAAACAAGAGUUCCUAUUGUGGAAGCAAGGCGAGAUGACAUUAAUUGAUUACAAAAGCAAAUUUCUGUGACUCAGUAAGUACGCUUUACAACUUGUUCUGGAUGAAGAAGAAAGUUGUAAGCGAUUCCUCCAGGGAAUGUGAGAGAAGGUUCUAGUUUAAUUGGUCUCACACAAAAUAAAAGAGUUUGUCGAUCUAGUUGAAAGAGUGAAUAUGGUUGAAGAAGCCUUGGACUUAGAUAAGAAAGAUAUGUCUCUUCGAGUAUUUGGGAAGAGAGUAGAGACUAUAGGCUCACAACCUCUACUGAAACGAACUAGGAAGUCUUGAGGUUCUGAGAAACCAGUACCAUUGAAUGUAGAAUUUAAGAAAGAUUAGGUUAAACAACCAUCAGUACCUAUUGGCAAUAGUAAGAAGUUGAAAAAGGAUACAACUAUUUUGAACUGUAAACUUUGUGGCAGAAAAUGCAGAAGUGAAUGUUGGAAGAAAACAAGAGCAUGUUUUCAAUAUGGAUCUUUAAAGCAUAUCGCUCAGAAUUGUCCAAGAAAUGUUGAUAAUAUUCCUGCAGCUACCCAGAGAUCUAAUUCGACAAAAAAAGGUCAGGGAAACAUUAUGGGUGAAUCAAAAGCACGAGGAUUUGGUAUGUAUAUUUUCAUAAUUUAAGAUCAAAUUAUUUGUUCAUGGAUUUAUGAUGUUCUCAUGAUUCUGGGUUAAAAUAAGGUACAAUUACUAUAUAAAUCAAAUUGUGAUUAUGAGUACUGAAUAUUAAGAAUUUGACUAAAUUGACUAGGGUAGAAAAUUUCAGAUUUGAUUGGUAUUGGAUUGUUGGUAUAAAUUGAAUUAAAUCAUAUAAUGAUGUUUGAUAAUUUCAUAGUUGACAAUAAGAUUGGGGUUGAUAGAUUGUGAGAUGAAAAUAGAUUGUUAGAUGAACACAUAAUGAUAUUGAAAAUUGGUUGGCUAUUAAAUAUACAAGUUAUACUUUGGUAUAUGCAAUCAUGCACUAUGUGUGACAGUAUAUUUUCUUUGAUUUAUCCGAUGAUGCACUGUGUGUGCCAACAUAUUUUCUUUAGUUUAUCCAAUGAUGCACUAUGUGUGCUAGUCUAUUUUCUUCAGCUUAUCCAAUAAUGCACUAUAUGUUCCAGUAUAGAUACUUCAGUUUAUCUAAUGAUGCACUAUAUAUGCUAGUAUAGAUACUUUGGUUUAUCUGAUAAUGCACUGUAUUUGCUAGUAUAGAUACUUCAGUUUAUCCGAUGAUGCACUGUAUGUGCCAGUAUAGAUAUUUCAGAUUAUCUAAUUAUGCAUUGUAUGUGCUAGUAUAGAUACUUCAAUUUAUCUAAUUAUGCAUUGUAUGUGUUAGGACAAUUGCGUUGAUUCAUCUAAUGAUACACUUAUGUAUCAGUAUGAUUGUUUCAGUUUUAUCCGAUGAUGCAAUUAUGAUGCUAAAUUAGGAUACAAGUUCAUUAAUCUAUGUAUUUGAUUUGAGUACGAUCAAGAUCAAUAAAGUUAUAACAUAUGAAUUGGUUAAAUGAAAUAUGAAUAUCGAUAGCAUGAGAAAGACUAUGCAAUCUAGUUAAACAAGUCUGAAGAUCGAUAAGAAAGGAUGGUAAACAAAUUAAUUGAUUUAGAAAUGAAAUUUCGGUAUCUCCAUAUCUUUUUUUUUAAUCAAAAUGGGCUCGAACGCUACUACCUCAAUAUUAACAAGCAUCAACGAGUACAAGCCCAUGGAUAUUGCUUGAAUACUCCAUGUCAAAAGAAAAGGUACAAUGUUUAUCAAUAGCAAGUUUACAAAGGCCAUUUACCACCCUAUUACUUGAGCGAGCAAUCCACUCAACCAUAAACUCACUGGAAGAAUCCAACAAAUCAAAAUUAUUCUUCAAUCAAAAUCCAUAAAUCAAGAUAUCCUCUCUACGAAAUUUAAACUAGUUAACCAACCCUGCAUAGCCAGUCUCGAAGAUUGCCGUUGCAACAUUAUUGUUACGCGCCCGAACAAUACCUUCUCUCAAGGCCUCUGCCUCAGCCCACUAAAUAUCCAAUUUAUAAUCCAGGUAAACCAUACGACCACCUAAGACAAAACCAUCACUGUUACGCACAAUAAUCCCGAUGCCAACCGUUGUGUCAUGAAUCGUCGGAUCAACAUUUAUUUGAAUGACAUCAAUUAGAGGCUUAACCAACCUAUGGGAUCUAGGAGGUCUAGGGUUCAUUGCGACAUGAGACGAGUUAAAAAUCUGAAAAUCAUCACCCAAAGUUCGUGCCCACUCCCAAAUCAACUGAGCAUCCUCCUCCUUCCCUUGAAACAAAGCAUUGUUGUGGCUAUUCCGAAUAUUCCAAAGGACCGUAAUGAAGUUCUCAAAAGCCUUAAGAUCCAACAAGUGAGUAGCAUUCUGAAGCCAAUCAAUACACCUCUCAAAAGAUGGAUCAAGUAAACGACCAUCCAACCCACCAUAAGAAAGAACCAUACGGGCUUUACGAUAGUCCGUAGCAAGUUGUGACCAAUCCUCCAAGAAAAUAUAUAGAUUUUAGGAAGCACACAGAGUUUCUAAAUAGUUCUCCAAAACAAACGAUGUAGGCCAAAACCCAUCUUCUUAAGGAUAAGCCAAGAAUACCCAAAAUUUGAAGAAUAGCACUCGAGCUUAUUGUGAAACCAAGCAAUUUGAUCCAGGGGACGGUGCUAAACAAUCAGUAAGAAACAGUAUGAGCAAUCUUCUCCUCACCAUAAAGGUCCUUCACCUGAUCUCCAUCCCACUCACAUGAGUUAGACCUCUAUAAAUCCCUCACUUGACCAUCCCUGCUGCCAUUGAAAGAAGUCCUCAACGAGUUACCAUCAAAACCCUCAAAGCCCCAUCUAUCAGAGUCGUACCUAGCUGUCGUCAUAUCCCCUAUUUGCCAUCCAAACCCAGUCUCAAGAGCUUUAACCACAUGCACAAUACUCAUCGAAGAGAAAGAAGGGUUAUCAAUAGCCAUGGGGUGAAGAAAAACCCCUUCCAAAAAAUACUUGGGACAUAUAAUAAGAUAACAUAAGGUAUCCUUAUUGUUGACGAGCCGCCACAAGUGUCUCCCGAGAAGUGAAAAAUUGAAAAGCCUCAAGUCCCUAAAACCAAGACCACCCAUGUCGUUCGAGGUACACAAAGAGUCCUACGCCAUCAUUUCCUAGCCCCGAUCUUAGUCCUUUUUUCCCACCAAAAGAUCUCAAGGGUACUCCUGGGAACAAGACAAAUCGAAAGUGAAUAAGUAGGUAAAGAUUGCAAAAUAGAUUUAAUGAAGAUAUCCUUACCACCAUAGGAUAAAUGACUUUUAGACUAGCAUUUUAUCCUAAGAGAAAAUCGAUCAAUAAUGUGUUGAAAUGCCUUUAUCUUAUUCUUUCAAAUGACUAAAGGCAAGCUUUAAUAUCCAUGGUCUCGAGGACUCACAUAUCCAAUGUACCACUCAACUGCUCCCUCUGAUCUCUCGAAGUAUUAGGGCUGAAAUAGAUAAUGGAUUUGGAAGGAUUUAUCUUUUUCUCAGAGAUCAUCUCAAAAUAGUGGAGAAUAUCCUUAACGAUCUCAACCUCCUCCAUUUUAUUACAAACAAAAAAGAGAGCAUCAUCUACAAAGAACAUAUGAUUAAUCCUAGGCCCAUUCUGACUGGCCUAAAUUCCUUGAAUCUUCCCAUUCAUCUAGGCCCCAAGGAGCAACCAAAAGAGCACUUCCAUACAAAACAAGAAAAUAUAGGGCGAAAGCGGAUCUCCCUAACGAAGCCCUUUCUUAGGGAUAAUCACAUCUGUGAGGGAUGUAUUACACUUUACAACAUAUCACACCGAUCGGACACACUGCAUAACCAAAGUAACCCAAGAAGUAGAAAACCCCAUACGGAUCAUCACUUUCUCUAAAAAGUCCCAUUCAAUAUGGUCAUAAGCUUUACUCAUGUCAAGCUUGAUCACAAACCCUUUAUUUGAUCCAUUUUUAGAACUCUGAAGGUAAUAUAAAAACUCAUAAGCAAUGAGAAAAUUAUCAUGAAUCAUAGACCCCGACACAAAAGCACUCUGGUUCUAGCUGAUACAGAACGAAAGAACAUUUUUAAUUAUAAUAGCUAAGACUUUAGAAAUUAUCUUGUAGAUAACCCUAUACAAGCUAAUAGGACGGAAGUGAGUCAUAUCCUUGUGUAACACGCCUAACUCAUAUCCGUUGCCAGAAUAGGGUUACGAGGCAUUACCAGUUAAAAUACACUUAUGUAAUCAUAAUCAAAAUUUAUUCAUCUCAAUCACAUUGUCCCUUAUAAGGUCUUACAAGACCUUAAAACAUGCUUAGAAAUGGUUCGGGACUAAACUGAUAACAAUUUCAAACUUUAAGAAACGUAGAAAAUUUUCAUAUUUUCAAGGGUCACACACCCGUGUGAACAGGCCGUGUGCAUCACACGACCACCAAACACGCCCGUGGCACAGGCCGUGUGAAAAUAGGGCAUACAUAUUAACUUGGGUCACAUGGCUGACUACACACCCGUAUGUCAAGCCCGUAUAACUCUCUAACUUGUACCACACGGCUAGUCACACACCCAUGUACUAGCCCGUGUGUCACACACAGCCAAUAGACUCACCCGUGUGUCUAGGCCAUGUCAAAGCUGUAGGGUAUACUAUCCUAAUUCGAAAGGGUACCCCAGGGGACACACGGCCGUGUAACAUGACCGUGUGUCGCACACGGCUGAGACACAUGCCUGUGUCUCUGGUCGUGUGGACAAAAAUAGGCCAUUUGUAAAUCUAAUUUGCCACCCUUUACUCAUGAACACUUAGAAACCAAAAUACACUAUUUCAAUAUGUCAUUAGACAACCAAAAACAUGCCAAUUCAUACUUAUUUCAUGCCAUCAAUUCAUAACCAUUUCAAAUAUUCAAUUCCAUAUUCAAAACAUACUCAAACAAUAUACCAAAACCAUCAAAAUUUACCAUUCCUCGACACUGACAACUAACCAAAUCAACAUCCAUUUAACUAUAUCCAAAACUAUGGAAAACAUACUAAAACAAGGCAACAUAUAAAGGCAUUAUAUGCAUCACAUAUAUCACUUAUCAAGCAUAUAACUUAAGCCAACUUAAUUGGCUAAAAUCAUACCAACAUUUACAUCAUUAAAAAGCCAAAUCACAUUGCUAACGUUAGAGCUCAAAACGUACCAAAAUGGCACUAGCCUAUACAUGCCAUAUACCAUAUAUACAAGCUUCAAAAAUACAAACAAAUGAUCAUUAGUGUGACGAUGCUCCUGACAUCCCCGAGUCCAAGCUAGCUUUGAUUAUCUAUAAAAUAUAGACAAAUAGCACACAGUAAGCUUCAUAGCUUAGUAAGUUUGUAGUUAAAAAAUUCAAUUCAUCAAAUAAUUAUAAUUCAAUCUUAUUCACAUUACCAAAACAACAUCUCAUUAACACAAACCUUUCUAUCAUGUCUCAAAACAUGAUUCAUUAACUUCUCGUUGAUAUUUCUCAACACAAUGCUCAAAUAGGUUCCGUACAUACCUGUACCAUCUCGUACUAAUCUCUUUCUUAAACAAGUCAUUCUUUUAUCCAUUGAACCAUUAGGGAUAGAAAUUAGACACUCAUGAAUUACAAUCGAUAAGUACGUAUACCAUGGCCGUAGCCAAAUCAAGGUAACUUAUCCCAUAGUACCUAUACCAUGGCCCGUAGCCAAAUCAAGGUAACUCCUCUCAAAAUACCUAUAUCAAGGCUCGUAGCCAAAUCUAGGUAUUAUUCCACCUGAAGUGCUGAUUUCAUGGCCCGAAGCCAAUACAUGAACUUAAUGACAUUACAUUAUCAUCAUCUUAUUAUCAUCACUAUACUUAAAGUUUAACCGAGAAGUUUCGCUUGGCGAUUUCUUUGUCGAACAAUUCCAUAUAGUCGUAUUCACAAUUCAAACAUUAUCUGCAAUCUCAUAAACUCAUUUUAUGCAGUAUCAAAGAAUAUAAUUUUCAUUUAUAAGGAAAUGAACACCUACGAACUUACCUCGGUCUUAGAAACAACGAAACUAACGAUUAAUCGAGUACUUUGUUCUUGCCUCGAUCUAAGUCCGAGUUCCUCUUUUCUUGAUCUAUAUGUAUUCAAAUUUAACUAAUUUAAUCACACAUUCAUUCAUUUCAAUCCAAAAACACAUAAAUGGGCAUUUUGCACAUUAGCCCCUAACAUUUCACAUUUUGACAUUUUAGUCCUUAUUACACAAAACACCAAAUACACAAAAUUCAUCAAAACCAUGCCUUAGUCGAAUCUUCCUAAGGUCCCUAGCAGCCCAUGUAUUUCAUUUAUUUUACAUUUUAACCUCUCAAUUCCUCAUUUUCACAAAUUAGUCCAUAAUUAUCAAAUUCAUCAAAAAUCCCAAUACAAAAUAUAUUUAUCUAUCAUCAAGCUUCCAUAUUUCACCAUUUAACAUCACAAAACUUACAAAAUUAACAAUGGCAUAACUCAAAUUCAUCAUCAAAUUCUAAAUUUUAAGCAUGGGCUGGAUAAAACACAAAGCAAUGAUCUAAAAAACAUAGAAAUCAUAAAAAACAAAGAAAAUUUGCUUACCUAAUCAAGCUACCAAGUUGUCGAAAUGUUAAAGCUCAUAAACCCUAGCUUCUUCUUCUAAUUUCUGUUCAAAUAAAAAAAGAUGAACAAAUUUUUCAUCUUUUGUUUUAUUUAUUAUACAUUAUUUAGCUAAAUUACCAAAUAAGCCUUAUUUAAAACCAUUUAAAAACAUUCAUUUAAUCGUCAUUUGUGUCCAUUUCCACUAUCCAUGGUCUAAUUUCAACAUAAGGACCUUUCAUUAAUAAGCCAUAGUAAUUAGGCACUUUUAACUUAUAGCAUGCAACUUUUGCAUUUUACGCAAUUAAGUCCUUUUUCUCUAAUUAACCACUUAAACGAUAAAAUUAGCUCACAAAAUUUUCACACAUACAUACUCACAUGCUAUAAACACCAAGAAUAAUAAUAAUAAUAAAUUGACUCAGAUUUGUGGGACUGAAACCACUAUUUUGACUAGGGUCUAAAUCGGGCUGUUACACCUUGGGCUCAUCAAUUUUAGGAAUGAGAAUGAUAACAUUUUCAGUUAUAUCCUUGUUGUCUUUUCGCCCAUCCAAAAUGUCAUGACAAAUCUUGAGCACAUCCUUACCAACUACCCAUGAUUUUCCUUAUAGAAUAGACCAGAAAGCCCAUCAAUACCUGAGGCCUUGCGAGGAUCCAUCAGAGUAAAAGCUUCAACUAGGUUCUUAUCAGUCACAUUGUAAUCCAAAACACUAUUCAUAUCAGAGGUGAUACAAUUAGGAAUCAAGCCCAAUGCCCUCUAAAGAUUACUGCAGGCCUCAGUCUCAAAAAGAGAGUGAAAGUAAUCCUAAGCCACCUGACGAACCCCACCCGAAUCAAAAACUGAAUUUUAUUAAUUAGUUAGUUUACCAAGGUACAAGUGGUUUGUACCGAAAGUCAGUGGUUUUGGAAAAUAAGGUUUCGGGACCUCGUUUUCAUAAUUCGAGCUUGUAAAUAUUUAUUAAAAAUAUUUACGGAGUUAUUUUAUAAGUAAAUUCAAAUUUCGAUCAAGUAAAUUUGUCGAAUUAAUGCUUAAUUAGUGUACAAGGACUAAAUAGUAAGCGUGUCAAAAGAAAUAUUCUUAAGGAAUCUUGAACUAAUAUUCAAAGUAAAAGACUUAAAUAGUAAUUAUGCCCUUAUAACAUUAGUGGUCGGUUUCAAAUAGUAUUUAUAACAACAUUUUAAUUUAACUAAAACAUAAAAUAAAGAUUAAAUUAAAUUAAUAAAGAAAUGAUAAAAGUUUGGGUGGAAUGAAAGAGAAAGUAUUCUUUCUCUUUUUACCUUCAUAUUUUGAAGCUAACUAGGAAGGAGGACCAACUGUUAGGGAUUUCAAUGAUUCAAGCUCGAAAUUGGUAUGUUUAAUUUAAUCUUUUUCUUGUAAUUUUCAUUUUUUCAAAGUUUGUGAAUGUUUCCAUUGAUGGAUUGUAACACCCCUUACCCGUCUCCGAUGCCGGGAUAGGGUUCGAGACGUUACCAGACUUAAACAUAUACAAACAUACAAAAUAGUGUUAUAAGAAUUUCGUCCAAAUUUAAAACUUUUCAAUCACAUGUCAAUUGUCCCUUAUAAUGGUUUACAAGACCCAAAACAUACAUCGGAAGCAGUUUGGGACUAAACCGAGAACUUUCAGAACCUUUUUAACACGUAGGAAAUUUCCUUGCUUUGGGAGAGUUACACGCCCGUGUGAGUAGGCCGUGUAGUUACACACGCCCACGUGGCUUGAGAUACACCCGUGUCCUUAGCCCGUGUAACUCUCUGACUAUGACAUCAUCAACAAAAUAAGGUCACACAGCCAAGUCACACGUCCGUGUGCUUAGGCUGUGUGGCGAAUUAAAUUCCAAAAAUUAAGUGCAGACUUCACACGGCCUGAGCACACACCCAUGUCCUAAGGUCGUGUCCUUCAAAUGGUUGAGACACAUAGCUGUAUCUCUGCUCGUGCGUUUACUACUAGGUAUUCUGUUUUGUAUAAUUAGAGUGCAGGGGACACAUAGUUAGAUCACACGCCCAAGGGGUAGAUCAUGUGUCACACACGGCCAAGACACAUGCUCGUAUGUCUAACUGUGUGGACAAUUUCUAGACUAUUUUCCAAGCCAUUUUCCACCCUUAAACACUCACAUACUUACAGUUAUAUCAUGGCAUGCAACAUGGCACAUUUAAUUACUCAAACAUUAAUAUUCAUGGAUAAAUUAUGACUUAACAAUGUCAACAUAUCACCUAUCCAAACUAUUAUGCUUUCAUAUGGCAUUCCACAUCAAUUUCAUAUUUAUUUAUCAUCCUUGCUAACCUACUUUCAAGUUACACAUUUACACCACAUAUAUUGUAUACACAUUAAUCAUAUUUCUGUAACACCCCUAACCCAUAUUUGUCGUCGGAAAAGGGUUACAAGGCAUUACCAAUCAAUACACAUCAUUCACAUACAUAACAUAGACAUUUAUGCAUUCAUAUCAAUAUUCAUUCAUUUCAAUCAUAUUGUCCCUUCUAAGGUCCUACGGUACCUUAAAACAUGUUUAGAAGAGGUUCGGGACUAAACUAGUAACAUUUGCAAACUUUAGGAAACAUAGAAAAUUUUCUUCACUUUCAAGGUCACACGUCUGUGUGAACAGGCCGUGUACCUCACACGGCUACCAAACAUGCCCGUGUCACAGGUCAUGUGAAAACAGGGCAUACAUACUGACUUACACCACACGGCCAAGGACAUGCCCGUAUGUCAAGCCGUGUGAAAUCUAAGGGGGUUACUGACUUGGGUCACACCGCCGACUAUACGCCCAUGUGCCAGCCCAUGUGCCACGCACGACCAAUAGACAUGCCCGUGUGUCUAGGCCAUGUCAAAACUGUAAGGUAUACUGACUUUAGUUCGAAGGGCACCCCAGAGGACACACAGUCGUAUAACAUGACCGUGUGGACAAAAAUAGGCUAUUUGCAAAGCCAAUUUGCCACUCUAUUCUCAUGCUCACCUAGCCAUCAAAAUGAUACCAUUUUAACACAUAAUAGGCAACCAACAACAUGCCAAUUCAAAUACCUACCAUGCCAUCUAAACUCAAUCAUUUCAACUACCUAAUUUCAUAUUAAAAAACAUACCAAAUCUGAGUGCCAAAAUCAUCAAUCUCACAUGACUACUAUUUGCUUUACUCAUCAAAUUAUCAUCUAUUUCAUGAUACAACUUACACCAUAUCUCCAUCUCAAAAUCAUACCACAAUAUGUCAAUCUUACAAACAUUAAUACAUCAUUUACUAAUUAACCAAAUAAUAACUAUUUGCUUAUAUCAAUAACUAUGGAAAACAUAUCAAAAUAAGCCAACAUAUAAGGCAUUAUAUACAUCAAACACGUAUCACUUAUCAAAGACAAUUCAAGCCAACUUAAAUGGCCAUACACAUCAUCAUUGACAAGAAAAAUCACAUGACUAACAUUAUAGCUCAAAACAUAACAAAAUGACACUAGCAUUUACAUGCCAUAUACCAUAUAUACAAAGCUUUCAAAGUACCAACAAAAUAAUCAAUAGUGUGAUGACGUAUUCCCAACGAUCCUCGAGUCUAAGCUAGCUUCGAUAAUCUAUAAAACAUAGAAAGAACACACAAAGUAAGCUUUAAAAGCUUAGUAAGCCAUAUACAAAUAAAGUUAUCAUAUGAAUCACAACAUUUCUAUCAAUAGGCCAAGUACAAGUAAACACGUAUAGAUACACAAACGUUUCUCCAUGAGUACAUAUGCAUUUCUCAUGUAAACUUAUCAAUUACUUCACUUUUCAAUACUUAUAUGUAUCUCGUAUGAACCUGAGUCAUUUAACUCAUUAACACAUUCUUUCUCGACAUGUCUUUGCCCGUUGAACCAUUCAGAAUUGUUAAGGAUACUCAAAAAUCACAUAAGCUCGUACAAUGUCCUAGAUAUGGUCUUACAUGUUAUCACAUAUCGAUGCCACUGUCCCAGGCAGGGUCUUACACAAAACCAAUUAAUGAUGCCAAUGUUUCAGACAUGGUCCUUCAUGUAAUCACAUCUCGAUAACCUAAUGUCAUGACAUUCAUAUCCUAUACUACUCCUAAGGUUCGUAUGAAACUUUCGGAAGUCGUAACUUCGUCGAUUCAUGCUCUUAUUUGCUCAUUUGACAUUCAUAGCAAUUCAAUGAUAAUAAAACAUAUAUAAUUCAAUUCAAAUACAAUUAUUUGCAUAUGAACUUACCUCGUAGUCGGAAGUAACGGAUGGGGUCGACUAUUCGAUAACUUUUCAUUUCCUCCAAUAUAAAUCCAAUUUCUUUCGUUCUUGAUCUAUAUACAUUCAAAAUUUUGGCUUUUAUUCUAUUUAUGUUAUGUUAAUUAACAUUUUUACUAAUUUACCCUUAAUGAAACCAUUAUGAAAUCACCUAUUACAAGCCCAUUUAUGACAAUUUCUACUUUUAAUGGUCUAAUAACAACAUAAGGACCUUUCAUUUCAUAAGCCAUAGAAUUAGACACCUUUAUCAAAUAGAAUACAACUUUUGCAUUUUACGCGAUUUAGUCAUUUUCUCAAAUUAACCACUUAAACAAUAAAAUUAGCACAAGAAACUUUCACACAUACAUACUCACAUGCUUUAAACACAUAAAAUAAUAUUAAAAUAAUUUUUUGACCUCAGAUUUGUGGUCCUGAAACCACUAUUCUGAUUUAGCUAUAAACCAGGCUGUUACAACUCUCCCCCCUUAGGGAUUUUCGUCCCCGAAAAUCUUACCAACGAAUAGGUUUGGAUAUUGCUUUCUCAUAGCAUCCUCGGGUUCCCGUGUAGCUUCUUCAACCCCGUGUCGAUGCCACAAUACUUUCACUAAUGCGAUUAUCUUAUUUCUUAGAUCUUUGAUCUCAUGAGCUAGAAUUCAAAUCGGUUCUUCACUGUAUGACAAAUCUGACUGAAUCUCAACUUCGAUUGGGGAAAUAACAUGCAAAGGAUCGGAUCUAUAUUUUUGAAGCAUCGAUACAUGAAAUAAUUAUGUAUCAUUUCUGACUCAGAUGGUAAUGCUAGCCGAUAAGCAACUGGUUCGACUCGUUCGAUAAUCUCGUACUUGGUUUGGUUUCAUACAUAUAACUUUUGUAUUUAGCCAGACAACAUUGAAAAGUUAUUUUACAUUCUUUGCUAAAUCCCAUUCGUACUUGUCCAAAGUUAUCUUCGAUCCUACUUUUCUUCACAUAAUUCAAAAGAUCAUACUUGAUCUUUGAGUACCAAACAUCUCUCAACAAUCUUCAAAAAACCUUUGUCCAAUCCUAAUUGUCCAAACUUACUUGUAAUCGCAAAUUUUCCAAACUAUGUUGUGUUUGCACAGCCAUAAAAAUAGGUCUACUAGUUUCGAGUAAGUUUAUCGGGUUUCGGAUGAAAGGUAGGAGUUAAUCGGGUUUACUAGUCAUUUCUUUAAAAAAAAUUAGUUAGCUUAAUUUCAUUUAAAAAUGGGUAAAUAAUAUUCUAGAAAAUAAAAUUUUUUUAGACAAAUCAAUAUUAUGGUUUAAAAUCUUUUUUGGUUAAAAUAAAUAUUUUAUUGAAAAAUAAAUUAAAAUGGGGUUUAAUUGAGAGAAGUUACAAUAUUAACUAAAUAGGUAUAUAAUAUUCCGAAAAAUGAAAAUAUAUUUAGAAAAAUAUCACGAAUAUCAUGAAUACUAAUGCCCCCAUCCUUUUAGGCUGACACAAAUUCUUCCACGGGAGUAUCGCCCAAUAUUAUCCUCUUUCCUUUCCAGACUACCAAAUUCUGCUUAUCUUUGAUAGAAGCUCCUCGAUCACAAUCCUAAUUGUCCAAAUCUACUUGAAAUUGCUAAUUUUCCAAAGUAUGUUGUGUUUGUAACGCCCUAAAAAUAGGACUACUGGUUUUGAGUAAAUUUAUAGGGUUCCGGGUGAAAGCUAGGAGUUAAUCGGGUUUACUACACAUUUCUUUAAAAAAAAUUAGUUAGCUUAAUUUCAUUUAAAAAUAGGUAAAUAAUAUUCUGGAAAAUAAAAAUAUUUUUAGAGAAAUCAAUUUUAUGGUUUUAAAUAUUUUUUGGUUAAAAUAAAUAUUUUAUUGAAAAAUAAAUUAAAAUGGGGUUUAAUUGAGAGAAGUUACAAUAUUAACUAAAUACAUAUAUAAUAUUAAGGAAAAUAAAAAUAUUUAUAGAAAAAUAUCACGAAUAUCAUGAAAACUAAUACCCCCAUCCUUUUAGGCUGACACAAAUUCUUCCACGGGAGUAUCGCCCAAUAUUUUCCACUUUCCUUUCCAGACCACCAAAUUCUGCUUAUCUUUGAUAGAAGCUCCUCGGUCACAGUCCAAAUUGUCUAAACCUACAUGUAAUCGCAAAUUUUCCAAAGUAUGUUGUGUUUGUAACGCCCUAAAAAUAGGUCUUCUAAUUUUGAGUAAGUUUAUCGGGUUCCGGGUGAAAGCUAGAAGUUAAUCGGGUUUUCUAGUCAAUUCUUGAAAAAAAAACUUAGUUAGCUUAAUUUCAUUUAAAAAUUGGUAAAUAAUAUUCAUGAAAAUAAAAAUAUUUUUAGAAAAAUCAAUUUUAUGGUUUUAAAUAUUUUUUGGUUAAAAUAAAUAUUUUAUUGAAAAAUAAAUUAAAAUGGGGUUUAAUUGAGAGAAGUUACAAUAUUAACUAAAUAGGUAUAUAAUAUUCUGGAAAAUAAAAAUAUUUUUAGAAAAAUAUCAUGAAUAUCAUGAAUACUAAUACCCCAAUCCUUUUAGGCUGACACAAAUUCUUCCACGGGAGUAUCGCCAAAUAUUUUCCUCUUUCCUUUCCAGACCACCAAAUUCUGCUUAUCUUUGAUAGAAGCUCCUCGAUCACAAUUCUAAUUGCCCAAACCUACUUGUCAUCGCAAAUUUUCCAAAGUAUGUUGUGUUUGUAACGCCCUAAAAAUAGGUCUACUAGUUUUGAGUAAAUUUAUCGGGUUCCGGGUGAAAGCUAGGAGUUAAUCGGGUUUACUACUCAUUUCUUUAAAAAACAUUAGUUAGCUUAAUUUCAUUUUAAAAUGGGUAAAUAAUAUUCUAGAAAAUAAAAUUUUUUUAGACAAAUCAAUAUUAUGGUUUAAAAUCUUUUUUGGAUAAAAUAAAUAUUUUAUUGAAAAAUAAAUUAAAAUGGGAUUUCAUUGAGAGAACUUACAAUAUUAACAAAAUACAUAUGUAAUAUUCCGGAAAAUAAGAAUAUUUUUAGAAAAAUAUCACGAAUAUCAUGAAUACUAAUACCCCAAUCCUUUUAGGCUGACACAAAUUCUUCCACGGGAAUAUCGCCCAAUAUCCUCUUUCCUUUCCAGACCACCAAAUUCUGCUUAUCUUUGAUAGAAGCUCCUCGAUCACAAUCCUAAUUGUCCAAACCUACAUGUAAUCACAAAUUUUCCAAAGUAUGUAGUGUUUGUAACGCCUUAAAAAUAGGUCUACUAGUUUUGAGUGAGUUUAUCGGGUUCCGGGUGAAUGCUAGGAGUUAAUCGGGUUUACUACACAUUUCUUUAAAAAAAAUUAGUUAGCUUGAUUUCAUUUACAAAUCGGUAAAUAAUAUUCCGGAAAAUAAAAAUAUUUUUAGAGAAAUCAAUUUUAUGGUUUUAAAUAUUUUUUGGUUAAAAUAAGUAUUUCAUUGAAAAAUAAAUUAAAAUGGGGUUUCAUUGAGAGAAGUUACAAUAUUAACUAAAUAGGUAUAUAAUAUUCCAAAAAUUAAAAAUAUUUUUAGAAAAAUAUCACGAAUAUCAUGAAUACUAAUACCCCCAUCCUUUUAGGUUGACACAAAUUCUUCCACGGGAGUAUCGCCCAAUAUUUUCCUCUUUCCUUUCUAGACCACCAAAUUCUACUUAUCUUUGAUAGAAGCUCCUCGAUCACAAUCCUAAUUGUCCAAACCUACUUGUAAUCACAAAUUUUCCAAAGUAUGUAGUGUUUGUAACGCUUUAAAAAUAGGUCUACUAGUUUUGAGUAAGUUUUUCGUGUUCCGGGUGAAUGCUAGGAGUUAAUCGAGUUUACUACCCAUUUCUUUAAAAAAAAUUACUUAGCUUAAUUUCAUUUACAAAUCGGUGAAUAAUAUUUCGGAAAAUAAAAAUAUUUUUAGAGAAAUCAAUUUUAUGGUUUUAAAUAUUUUUUGGUUAAAAUAAGUAUUUCAUUGAAAAAUAAAUUAAAAUGGGGUUUCAUUGAGAGAAGUUACAAUAUGAACUAAAGAGGUAUAUAAUAUUCCGGAAAUUAAAAAUAUUUUUAGAAAAAUAUCACGAAUAUCAUGAAUACUAAUACCCCCAUCCUUUUAGGUUGACACAAAUUCUUCCACGGGAGUAUCGCCCAAUAUUUUCCUCUUUCCUUCCUAGACCACCAAAUUCUGCUUAUCUUUGAUAGAAGCUCCUCGAUCACAAUCCUAAUUCUCCAAACCUACUUGUAAUCACAAAUUUUCCAAAGUAUGUAGUGCUUGUAACGCCUUAAAAAUAGGUCUACUAGUUUUGAGUAAGUUUAUCGUGUUCCGAGUGAAUGCUAGGAGUUAAUAGGGUUUACUACCCAUUUCUUUAAAAAAAAUUACUUAGCUUAAUUUCAUUUACAAAUCGGUGAAUAAUAUUCCGGAAAAUAAAAAUAUUUUUAGAGAAAUCAAUUUUAUGGUUUUAAAUAUUUUUUGGUUAAAAUAAGUAUUUCAUUGAAAAAUAAAUUAAAAUGGGGUUUCAUUAAAAGAAGUUACAAUAUGAACUAAAAAGGUAUAUAAUAUUUCGGAAAUUAAAAAUAUUUUUAGAAAAAUAUCACGAAUAUCAUGAAUACUAAUACCCCCAUCCUUUUAGGUUGACACAAAUUCUUCCACGGGAGUAUCGCCCAAUAUUUUCCUCUUUCCUUUCUAGACCACCAAAUUCUACUUAUCUUUGAUAGAAGCUCCUCGAUCACAAUCCUAAUUGUCCAAACCUACUUGUAAUCACAAAUUUUCCAAAGUAUGUAGUGUUUGUAACGCUUUAAAAAUAGGUCUACUAGUUUUGAGUAAGUUUUUCGUGUUCCGGGUGAAUGCUAGGAGUUAAUCGAGUUUACUACCCAUUUCUUUAAAAAAAAUUACUUAGCUUAAUUUCAUUUACAAAUCGGUGAAUAAUAUUUCGGAAAAUAAAAAUAUUUUUAGAGAAAUCAAUUUUAUGGUUUUAAAUAUUUUUGGUUAAAAUAAGUAUUUCAUUGAAAAAUAAAUUAAAAUGGGGUUUCAUUGAGAGAAGUUACAAUAUGAACUAAAGAGGUAUAUAAUAUUCCGGAAAUUAAAAAUAUUUUUAGAAAAAUAUCACGAAUAUCAUGAAUACUAAUACCCCCAUCCUUUUAGGUUGACACAAAUUCUUCCACGGGAGUAUCGCCCAAUAUUUUCCUCUUUCCUUCCUAGACCACCAAAUUCUGCUUAUCUUUGAUAGAAGCUCCUCGAUCACAAUCCUAAUUCUCCAAACCUACUUGUAAUCACAAAUUUUCCAAAGUAUGUAGUGCUUGUAACGCCUUAAAAAUAGGUCUACUAGUUUUGAGUAAGUUUAUCGUGUUCCGAGUGAAUGCUAGGAGUUAAUAGGGUUUACUACCCAUUUCUUUAAAAAAAAUUACUUAGCUUAAUUUCAUUUACAAAUCGGUGAAUAAUAUUCCGGAAAAUAAAAAUAUUUUUAGAGAAAUCAAUUUUAUGGUUUUAAAUAUUUUUUGGUUAAAAUAAGUAUUUCAUUGAAAAAUAAAUUAAAAUGGGGUUUCAUUAAAAGAAGUUACAAUAUGAACUAAAAAGGUAUAUAAUAUUUCGGAAAUUAAAAAUAUUUUUAGAAAAAUAUCACGAAUAUCAUGAAUACUAAUACCCCCAUCCUUUUAGGUUGACACAAAUUCUUCCACGGGAGUAUCGCCCAAUAUUUUCCUCUUUCCUUUCCAGACCACCAAAUUCUGCUUAUCCUUGAUAGAAGCUCCUCGAUCACAAUCCUAAUUGUCCAAACCUACUUGUAAUCGAAAAUUUUUCAAGGUAUGUUGUGUUUGUAACGCCCUAAAAAUAGAUCUACUAGUUUUGAGUAAGUUUAUCGAGUUCCGGGUGAAAGCUAGGAGUUUAUCAGGUUUACUAGUCAUUUCAAUUUAAAAAAAAAUUGUUAUCUUAACUUCAUUUAAAAAUCGGUAAAUAAUAUUCCGAAAAAUAAAAAAUAUUUUUAGAGAAAUCAAUUUUAUGGUUUUAAAUAUUUUUUGGUUAAAAUAAAUAUUUUAUUGAAAAAUAAAUUAAAAUGGGGUUUCAUUGAGAGAAGUUAGUAUAUUAACUAAAUAGGUAUAUAAUAUUCCGGAAAAUAAAAAUAUUUAUAGAAAAAUAUCACAAAUAUCAUGAAUACUAAUACCCCCAUCCUUUUAGGCUGACACAAAUUCUUCCACGGGAGUAUCGCCCAAUAUUUUCCACUUUCUUUUCCAAACCACCCAAUUCUGCUUAUCUUUAAUAGAAGCUCCUCGAUCACAAUCCUAAUUGUCCAAACCUACUUGUAAUCGCAAAUUUUUCAAAGUAUGUUGUGUUUGUAACGCCCUAAAAAUAGGUCUACUAGUUUUGAGUAAGUUUAUCGGGUUCCGGGUGAAAGCUAGGAGUUAAUCGGGUUUACUAGUUAUUUAAAAAAAAAAUUUUAACUUAAUUUCAUUUAAAAGUCGGUAAGUAAUAUUCCAGAAAAUAAAAAUAUUUUUAGAGAAAUCAAUUUUAUGGUUUUCAAUAUUUUUUGGUUAAAAUAAAUAUUUUAUUGAAAAAUAAAUUAAAAUGGGGUUUAAUUGAGAGAAGUUACAAUAUUAACUAAAUAGGUAUAUAAUAUUCUGGAAAAUAAAAAUAUCUUUAGAAUAAUAUCACGAAUAUCAUGAAUACUAAUACCCCCAUCCUUUUAGGCUGACACAAACUCUUCCACGAGAGUAUCGCCAAAUAUUUUCCUCCUUCCUUUCUAGACCACCAAAUUCUGCUUAUCAUUUAUAGAAGAUCCUCGAUCACAAUUCUAAUUGUCCAAACCUACUUGUAAUCGCAAAUUUUCCAAAGUAUGUUGUGUUUGUAACGCCCUAAAAAUUGGUCUACUAGUUUUGAGUAAAUUUAUCGGGUUCCGGGUGAAAGCUAGGAGUUAAUCGGGUUUACUACUCAUUUCUUUAAAAAAAAUUUAGUUAGCUUAAUUUCAUUUAAAAACCGGUAAAUAAUAUUCCGGAAAAUAAAAAUAUUUUUAGAGAAAUAAAUUUUAUUGUUUUAAAUAUUUUUUGGUUAAAAUAAAUAUUUUAGUGAAAAAUAAAUUAAAAUGGGGUUUCAUUGAGAGAAGUUACAAUAUUAACUAAAUACGUAUAUAAUAUUCCAGAAAAUAAAAAUAUUUAUAGAAAAAUAUCACGAAUAUCAUGAAUACUAAUACCCCCAUCCUUUUAAGCUGACACAAAUUCUUCCACGGGAGUAUCGCCCAAUAUUUUCCUCUUUCCUUUCCAGACCACAAAAUUCUGCUUAUCUUUGAUAGAAGCUCCUCGAUCACAAUCCUAAUUGUCCAAACCUACAUGUAAUCGCAAAUUUUUCAAAGUAUGUUGUGUUUGUAACGCCCUAAAAAUAGGUCUACUAGUUUUGAGUAAGUUUAUCGGGUUCCGGGUGAAAGCUAGGAGUUAAUCGGGUUUACUAGUUAUUUAAAAAAAAUUUGUUAACUUAAUUUCAUUUAAAAGUCGGUAAGUAAUAUUCCAGAAAAUAAAAAUAUUUUUAGAGAAAUCAAUUUUAUGGUUUUCAAUAUUUUUUGGUUAAAAUAAAUAUUUUAUUGAAAAAUAAAUUAAAAUGGGGUUUAAUUGAGAGAAGUUACAAUAUUAACUAAAUAGGUAUAUAAUAUUCUGGAAAAUAAAAAUAUCUUUAGAAUAAUAUCACGAAUAUCAUGAAUACUAAUACCCCCAUCCUUUUAGGCUGACACAAACUCUUCCACGAGAGUAUCGCCAAAUAUUUUCCUCCUUCCUUUCUAGACCACCAAAUUCUGCUUAUCAUUUAUAGAAGAUCCUCGAUCACAAUUCUAAUUGUCCAAACCUACUUGUAAUCGCAAAUUUUCCAAAGUAUGUUGUGCUUGUAACGCCCUAAAAAUAGGUCUACUAGUUUUGAGUAAGUUUAUCGAGUUCAUGUGAAAGCUAGGAGUUUAUCGGGCUUACCAGUCAUUUCCUUUUAAAAAAAUUCGUUAUCUUAAUUUCAUUUAAAAAUAGGUAAAUAAUAUUCCGAAAAAAAAUAUUUUUAGAGAAAUCAAUUUUAUGGUUUUAAAUAUUUUUUGGUUAAAAUAAAUAUUUUCUUGAUAAAUAAAUUAAAAUGGGGUUUCAUUGAGAGAAGUUACAAUAUUAACUAAAUAGGUAUAUAAUAUUUCAAAAAAUAAAAAUAUUUUUAGAAAAAUAUCACGAAUACCAUGAAUACUAAUACCCCCAUCCUUUUAGGCUGACAAAAAUUCUUCCACGGGAGUAUCGCCCAAUAUUUUCUUCUUCCCUUUCCAGACCACCAAAUUCUGCUUAUCUUUGAUACAAGCUCCUCGAUCACAAUCCUAAUUGUCCAAACCUACUUGUAAUCACAAAUUUUCCAAAGUAUGUUGUCUUUGUAACGCCUUAAAAAUAGGUCAACUAGUUUUGAGUAAGUUUAUCGGGUUCCGAGUGAAAGCUAGGAGUUAAUCCAGUUUACUAGUAAUUUAAAAAAAAUAGUUAGCUUAAUUUCAUUUAAAAACUGGUAGAUAAUAUUCUGGAAAAUAAAAAUAUUUUUAGAGAAAUCAAUUUUAUGGUUUUAAAUAUUUUUUUGUUAAAAUAAAUAUUUUAUUGAAAAAUAAAUUAAAAUGGGGUUUAAUUGAGAGAAGUUACAAUAUUAACUAAAUACAUAUAUCAUAUUCCGGAAAAUAAAAAUAUUUAUAUAAAAAUAUCACGAAUAUCAUGAAUACUAAUACCCCCAUCCUUUUAGGCUAACACAAAUUCUUCCACGGGAGUAUCGCCCAAUAUUUUCCUCUGUCCUUUCCAGACCACCAAAUUCUGCUUAUCUUUGAUAGAAGCUCCUAGGUCACAGUCCAAAUUGUCCAAACCUACUUGUAAUCGCAAAUUUUCCAAAGUAUGUUGUGUUUGUAACGCCCUAAAAAUAGGUCUACUAGUUUUCAGUAAAUUUAUCGGGUUCUGAGUGAAAGCUAGGAGUUAAUCGGGUUUACUACUCAUUUCUUUAAAAAAAGUUAGCUUAAUUUCAUUUAAAAAACGGUAAAUAAUAUGUCAGAAAAUAAAAAUAUUUUUAGAGAAAUCAAUUUUAUGGUUUUAAAUAUUUUUUGGUUAAAAUAAAUAUUUUAGUGAAAAAUAAAUUAAAAUGGGGUUUCAUUGAGAGAAGUUACAAUAUUAACAAAAUACGUAUAUAAUAUUCCGGAAAAUAAAAAUAUUUAUAGAAUAAUAUCACGAAUAUCAUGAAUACUAAUACCCCCAUCCUUUUAGGCUGACACAAAUUCUUCCACGAGAGUAUCGCCCAAUAUUUUUCUCUUUCCUUUCCAGACCACCAAAUUCUGGUUAUCUUUGAUAGAAGCUCCUCGAUCACAAUCCUAAUUGUCCAAACCUACUUGUAAUCGCAAAUUUUCCAAAGUAUGUUGUGUUUGUAACGCCCUAAAAAUAGGUCUACUAGUUUUGAGUAAAUUUAUCGGGUUAUGGGUGAGAGCUAGGAGUUAAUCGGGUUUACUACACAUUUCUUUAACAAAAAUUAGUUAGCUUAAUUUCAUUUAAAAACCGGUAAAUAAUAUUCCGGAAAAUAAAAAUAUUUUUAGAGAAAUCAAUAUUAUGGUUCUAAAUUUUUUUGGUUAAAAUAAAUAUUUUAUUGAAAAAUAACUUAAAAUCGGGUUUAAUUGAAAGAAGUUACAAUAUUAACUAAAUAGGUAUAUAAUAUUCCGGAAAAUAAAAAGAUUUUUAGAAAAAUAUCACAAAUAUCAUGAAUACUAAUACCCCAAUCCUUUUAGGCUGACACAAAUUCUUCCAUCCUCUUUCCUUUCCAGACCACCAAAUUCUGCUUAUCUUUGAUAAAAGCUCCUUGAUCACAAUUAUAAUUGUCCAAACCUACUUGUAAUCGCAAAUUUUCCAAAGUAUGUUGUGUUUGUAACGCCCUAAAAAUAGGUCUACUAGUUUUGAGUAAAUUUAACGGGUUUCGGGUGAAAGUUAGGAGUUAAUCGGGUUUACUACUCAUUUUUUUAAAAAAAAUUAGUUAGCUUAAUUUCAUUUAAAACACGGUAAAUAAUAUUCCAAAAGAUAAAAAUAUUUUUAGAGAAAUCAAUUUUGUGGUUUUAAAUAUUUUUUGGUUAAAAUAAAUAUUUUAGUGAAAAAUAAAUUAAAAUAGGGUUUCAUUGAGAGAAGUUACAAUAUUAACUAAAUACGUAUAUAAUAUUCAAAAAAAUAAAAAUAUUUAUAGUAAAAUAUCACGAAUAUCAUGAAUACUAACACCCCCAUCCUUUUAGGCUGACACAAUUUCUUCCACGGGAGUAUCGCUCAAUAUUUUCCUCUUUCCUUUCCAAACAAGCAAAUUAUCCUUAUCUUUGAUAGAAGCUCCUCGGUCACAAUCCAAAUUGUCAAAACCUACAUGUAAUCGCAAAUUUUCCAAAGUAUGUUGUGGUUGUAACGCCCUAAAAAUAGGUCUUCUAGUUUUGAGUAAGUUUAUCGGGUUCCGGGUGAAAGCUAGCAAUUAAUCGGGUUACUAGUCAUUUCUUCAAAAAAAAUUAGUUAGCUUAAUUUCAUUUAAAAAUCGGUAAAUAAUAUUCCGGAAGAUACAAAUAUUUUUAGAGAAAUCAAUUUUAUGGUUUUAAAUAUUUUUUGGUUAAAAUAACUAUUUUAUUGAAAAAUAAAUUAAAAUGGGGUUUCAUUGAGAGAAGUUACAAUAUUAACUAAAUAGGUAUAUAAUAUUCCCGAAAAUAAAAAUAUUUUUAGAAAAGUAUCACGAAUAUCAUGAAUACUAAUAACCCCAUCCUUUUAGGUUGACACAAGUUCUUCCACGGGAGUAUCGCCCAAUAUUUUCCUCUUUCCUUUCCAGACCACCAAAUUCUGUUUAUCUUUAAUAGAAGCUCCUCGAUCACAAUCGUAAUUGUCCAAACCUACUUGUAAUCGAAAAUUUUCCAAAGUAUGUUGUGUUUGUAACGCCCUAAAAAUAGGUCUACUAGUUUUGAGUAAGUUUAUCGAGUUCCGGGUGAAAGCUAUGAGUCUAUCAGGCUUACAUGUCAUUUCAUUUUUAAAAAAAUUCGUUAUCUUAAUUUCAUUUAAAAAUCGGUAAUAAUAUUCCGAAAAAUAAAAAAUAUUUUUAGAGAAAUCAAUUUUAUGGUUUUAAAUAUUUUUUGGUUAAAGUAAAUAUUUUAUUGAAAAAUAAAUUAAAACGGGGUUUCAUUGAGAGAAGUUACAAUAUUAACUAAAUAGGUAUAUAAUAUUCCGGAAAAUAAAAAUAUUUUUAGAAAAAUAUCACGAAUAUCAUGAAUACUAAUACCCCCAUCCUUUUAGGCUAACACAAAUUCCUCCACGGGAGUAUCGCCCAAUAUUUUCCUUUUUCCUUUCCAGACCACCAAAUUCUGCUUAUCUUUGAUAGAAGCUCCUCGAUCACAAUCCUAAUUGUCCAAACCUACUUGUAAUCGCAAAUUUUCCAAAGUAUGUUGUGUUUGUAACGCCCUAAAAAUAGGUCUACUAGUUUUGAGUAAGUUUAUCGGGUUCCGGGUGAAAGCUAGGAGUUAAUCGGGUUUACUAGUUAUUUAAAAAAAUUAGUUAGCUUAAUUUCAUUUAAAAGUCGGUAAAUAAUAUUCCAGAAAAUAAAAUUUUUUUUAGAGAAAUCAAUUUUAUGGUUUUAAAUAUUUUUUGGUUAAAAUAAAUAUUUUCUUGAUAAAUAAAUUAAAAUGGGGUUUAAUUGAGAGAAGUUACAAUAUUAACUGAAUAGGUAUAUAAUAUUCCAUAAAAUAAAAAUAUUUUUAGAAAAAUAUCACGAAUAUCAUGAAUACUAAUACCCGCAUCCUUUUAGGCGGACUCAAUUUCUUCCACAGGAGUAUCGCCCAAUAUUUUCCUCUUUCCUUUCCAAACCACCAAUUUCUGCUUAUCUUUAAUAAAAACUACUCGAUCACAAUCCUAAUUGUCCAAACCUACAUGUAAUCGUAAAUUUUCCAAAGUAUGUUGUGUUUGUAAUGCUUUAAAAAUAGGUCUACUAGUUUUGAGUAAGUUUAUCGGGUUCCGAGUGAAAGCUGGGAGUUAAUCGGGUUUACUACUCAUUUCUUUAAAAAAAAUUAGUUAGCUUAAUUUCAUUUAAAAAUCGGUAAAUAAUAUUCCGAAAAAUAAAAAUAUUUUUAGAGAAAUCAAUUUUAUGGUUUUAAAUAUUUUUUGGUUAAAAUAAAUAUUUUAUUCAAAAAUUAAAAUGGGGUUUAAUUGAGAGAAGUUACAAUAUUAACUAAAUAUUUAUAUGAUAUUCCGGAAAAUAAAAAUAUUUUUAGAAAAAUAUCACGAAUAUUAUGAAUACUAAUACCCCCAUCCUUUUAUGCUGACACAAAUUCUUCCACGGGAGUAUCGCCCAAUAUUUUCCUCUUUCCUUUCCAGACCACCAAAUUCUGUUUAUCUUUGAUAGAAGCUCCUCGAUCACAAUCCUAAUUGUCCAAACCUACUUGUAAUCGCAAAUUUUCCAAAGUAUGUUGUGUUUGUAACGCCCUAAAAAUAGGUCUACUAGUUUUGAGUAAGUUUAUCGGGUUCCGGGUGAAAGCUAGGAGUUAAUCGGGUUUACUAGUUAUUUAAAAAAUAAUUAGUUAGCUUAAUUUCAUUUAAAAGUCGGUAAAUAAUAUUCCAGAAAAUAAAAUAUUUUUAGAGAAAUCAAUUUUAUGGUUUUAAAUAUUUUUUGGUUAAAAUAAAUAUUUUAUUGAAAAUUAAAUUAAAAUGGGGUUUAAUUGAGAGAAGUUACAAUAUUAACUAAAUAGGUAUAUAAUAUUCCAGAAAAUAAAAAUAUUUUUAGAAAAAUAUCACGAAUAUCAUGAAUACUAAUACCCCCAUCCUUUUAGGUUGACAGAAAUUCUUCCACGGGAGUAUCGCCCAAUAUUUUCCUCUUUCCUUUCCAGACCACCAAAUUCUGCUUAUCUUUGAUAAAAGCUUCUCGAUCACAAUCCUAAUUGUCCAAACCUACAUGUAAUCGUAAAUUUUCCAAAGUAUGUUAUGUUUGUAAUGCUCUAAAAAUAGGUCUACUAGUUUUGAGUAAGUUUAUUGGGUUCCGGGUGAAAGCCGGAAGUUAAUCGGGUUUACUACUCAUUUCUUUAAAAAAAAUUCGUUAGCUUAAUUUCAUUUAAAAAUUGGUAAAUAAUAUUCCGAAAAAUAAAAAUAUUUCUAGAGAAAUCAAUUUUAUAGUUUUAAAUAUUUUUUGGUUAAAAUAAAUAUUUUAUUCAAAAAUUAAAAUGGGGUUUAAUUGAGAGAAGUUACAAUAUUAACUAAAUAGGUAUAUAAUAUUCCCGAAAAUAAAAAUAUUUUUAGAAAAGUAUCACGAAUAUCAUGAAUACUAAUACCCCCAUCCUUUUAGGUUGACACAAAUUCUUCCACGGGAGUAUCGCCUAAUAUUUUCCUCUUUCCUUUCCAGACCACCAAAUUCUGCUUAUCUUUGAUAGAAGCUCCUCGAUCACAAUCCUAAUUGUCCAAACCUACUUGUAAUCGCAAAUUUUUCAAAGUAUGUUGUGUUUGUAACGCCCUAAAAAUAGGUAUACUAGUUUUGAGUAAAUUUAUCGGGUUCUGGGUGAGAGCUAGGAGUUAAUCAGGUUUACUACAUAUUUCUUUAAAAAAAAUUAGUUAGCUUAAUUUCAUUUAAAAACCGGUAAAUAAUAUUCCGGAAAAUAAAAAUAUUUUUAGAGAAAUCAAUAUUAUGGUUUUAAAUAUUUUUUGGUUAAACUAAAUAUUUUAUUGAAAAAUAACUUAAAAUGGGGUUUAUGAGAGAGAAGUUACAAUAUUAACUAAAUACGUAUAUAAUAUUCCGGAAAAUAAAAAUAUUUUUAGAAAAAUAUCACGAAUAUCAUGAAUACUAAUACCCCAAUCCUUUUAGGCUGACACAAAUUCUUCCAUCCUCUUUCCUUUCCAGACCACCAAAUUCUGCUUAUCUUUGAUAAAAGCUCCUCGAUCACAAUUCUAAUUGUCCAAACCUACUUGUAAUCGCAAAUUUUCCAAAGUAUGUUGUGUUUGUAACGCCCGAAAUGUAACGCCCCAAUUUUCGGGAAUUCUGUGAAUGUUGGCAUAGGUUUAAUUAUGUUAGUGGGCCUCUAGAAGGCCCAAGCUUAAGAUAGAACCCGAUAAUUUUAGUUAAUUUUUUUUCCAUAAGAAAAAUGGGGUGAAAUUAUGAAAUAGAACCUAUGUGAAAAUGUUUUAAAAUGCUAUAGGCUAAAUUGAAGUGGCCAAAUAAAUAGGAGUGCAAAAUAGGAGGACGCGAUUGAAUUUUAGUACGGCUUUCCAUCCCCAGACUGAUGGUCAAUCAGAAAGGGUUAUGCAGAUUCUGGAGGACAUGUUGAGGGGAUGCAUGAUUGACUUUCGAGGUAGUUGGGAGGAUUACUUGCCGUUGGCAGAAUUUGCAUACAAUAACAGUUACCAGGUGAGUAUUCGAAUGGCACCGUAUGAAGCACUGUAUGGACGAAGGUGUCGUACACCUAGUUGUUGGACCGAACUAGGAGAGCGAUAAGUUCUUGGACCAGUGUUGGUAGCUGAUACUGAGGAUAAGGUCAGAAUAAUUAAGGACCGGUUAAAAGAAGCAUCUGAUAGGCAAAAGUCGUAUGCAGAUUUGAAGCGUAAGGAGAUUGAGUACCCAGUAGGUGAUAUGGUCUUCUUAAAGGUUUCUCCUUGGAAGAAGAUAUUAAGGUUCGGUAAGAAAGGCAAGUUGAGUCCGCGGUUCAUUGGGCCUUAUCGCAUUUUGAAGUGAGUAGGCCCAAUGGCUUAUCAGUUUGAAUUGCCUCCAGAGUUAGACAGGAUUCACGAUGUUUUUCACGUCUCCAUGUUAAGGCGUUAUCGUUCUGACCCUGCUCAUGUCCUGCCAGUUGCAGAAAUUGAAGUUCAGACUGAUUUGACCUUUGAGGAGGAGCCUGUGCAAAUAUUGGCUCGAGAUGUUAAGGUUCUCAGAAGGAAAUCUGUCCCGUUAGUGAAAGUGCUUUGGUGUAAUCAUGGAAGGGAAGAAGCUACUUGGGAAUCAGAAGAGACUAUGCGUCAACAAUACCCUCAACUAGUUGGAUCAGGUAAAUUUCGAGGACGAAAUUUCUUUAAGGAGGGUAGAGUUGUAACGCCCCAAUUUUUGGGAAUUCUGUGAAUGUUGGCAUAGGUUUAAUUAUGUUAGUGGGCCUCUAGAAGGCCCAAGCUUAAGAUAGAACCCGACAAUUUUAGUUAAUUUUUGUUCCAUAAGAAAAAUGGGGUGAAAUUAUGAAAAUGUUUGAAAAUGCUAUAGGCUAAAUUGAAGUGGCCAAAUAAAUAGGAGUGCAAAAUAGGAGGAUUUGCAUGACAAACCUCCCAUUUUACAUGAAGUGGCCAGCCACCAUGUUGUUGUAGACAAAAUGUGCACUUGAUAUCCAUAAUUUAUGGUACAAAUUGAUAAUGGGUUAGGUAAAUGUUCCAUGAUAAUGGGUUAGGUAAAUGUUUCAUGAUAAUGGGUUAGGUAAAUGUUCUAUGAUAAUGGGUUAGGUAAAUGUUCCAUGAUGGGAAUUUCAUGUCUUUUGUAUUAAAGAAUUAAAUGGAUGAAAUAUGAAAUUUUAUUUUAAAAAAAGGGUGAAAAGAACAAAGUUUUGUUCAUCUUUGUUCAUCAUAGCGCAAAGUUAGAGAAGAGAAAGGAGAGGAGAAAGCUCUUGAAUGUUCGGUCACUUGGGGAAGAAAAUUGAAGGUAAGUUCAUGGUAGUUUGCUUCUAUCUUGAGGUUCAUGAGUUCUUCUUGAUUCUACCUUAACUCUUGAAGCAUAUUUUGGUUUUUAGUUGUGUUGUGAGCAUUUAGUCAUGAAUUAAAAUGAAGGAAAUGGUUGUUGUUUCAUGUUCUUUUGAUGAAAAAUGGAAGAUAGGUGAAGUUGAGCCAAACAAAUGAGCAUGCAUGUGCCUUAGAUGCUAAAGGGAAAAAUCGGCUAACAUGUUAUGCUUUAAAAUGAUGAAAUGGAGAUUAUACUUAAGUAAAAUCAUAGAUAUGUGAUGAUUGAUUGGUGAUAUACAUGUUUAAAUAACAUGCAUGCAAGGUAUGUGUGAAAGAGUGAUUUGGUAAUAAAUAUGCUUGGGACAGCAGCAGUAACGUGACUUUGGAAAAUCACCAUAAAUUGUGAGAGAUGAAUUAGAAGCUGAAUAAAUUAUGUAAUUAAAUCUUAAUGAGUCUAGUUUCAAAUGAAAUAGACGAGAACAUAUUUUGAAUUCUGUACAAUGAGAAAUUUGAUUUGUAAUGAAGAGUGGUCAGAUUAGUCAAACAGUGAAACAUGCGAAACUUUGAGAAAAAUAUGGUAUUGAUUGGAUAAACCAAAAAUUCUGAAAAUUUUAUGGAUAUAAUAUAUAUGAGUCUAUUUUCAGGUAAAAUUAACGGCACUUGAUUUGGAGUUUUGUAGCUCCAGUUAUAAAUGAUUUAGUGACUAUUGCUCAGGAAGACAGCUUGCAGUGAAAUUAUGAUUAUGUGGUAAACACUGACAAAAAUUUGUUAAUGAGUUGCUUAUUGAUUUCUUAUAAGCUUACUCUGAUCUGUAGGUGUGGAUGGCCGAAUAUUGUAAGGGGUUAAUACGUAUUUCUUAUUUGAAUAGUUAGAUUAAUGUGUUAGUAAUCCAAUUGUAGGCAGUUCGUGUGUGGAUCUCGUCAGCAUAUCGUCGCAAACAGAUGUGUAACUAACACCUUCUUUCUUAGUCUGGAUCGGUAAAAGUCGAAAAUCCGAAAUGCCGAAAACCGGUAUUUUGUAGAUUUGCGAGUGUGCGAAUGCUCGUGAGGUAAAUCGAUUAAUGUUUUUGGUAAGCUGCAAAAUUUGGACUGCAAAGUGCAUGAUUUCUGUGCCCUCGAUAUUUUUGGGCUUAAUGGGCCAAAAAUUGGAAUGAUGGGCCAACGGGCCCAAUUCGGUAAGAACCCUCAGUGCGUGAUUCUGUUAGUACGUAAGAAGUAGGAAUAUGCAUGAAAAACCCUAAAAUAGAUAAAUUACUGAAAUACCUUUAAAAGUGGAAAAUUUAUAGUUUUACCCCUAAUAGAUAAAUUACCGAAAUACCCCUACGGUUAAAUUGACCUAAAUGCAUGUUUGACUAUUGUUAAUUACUGCAUGCCAUGUUGUUAUUAUCUGAUGCAUGGGAUUGGGAUAUUGACGGAGGAAGUACUAAAAGUGGCUUGUCCACGUACUGGAGGCUUUGCCUCAAUUUACUGUUAACUGAGCAGCAAGGCUGCAACUGUGGAGUGUUGGGCUAGGUGGGUUGAGCUAUUCCACACAUGGAGUGUAAGGCUGGUACGGGUGGAGUGUAGUGGUUGGUGGGUUGAGUAGUCUCCCCAAAUGGGCUUGAAUAUGUUAUUGAUGUUGCAUGUAUUUUGAAAUGGGCCUAUAGGCCAUACUGUUAUCUGAAUAAGGGGCUAAGGCCCAGUUUAUUGUAAUCUGAAAAGGGCUCUGGUCCAGUACCACUGUUACUUGAAUGGGCGUAGGCCCAAUAGGCUUGAGCUGACUUGGGCUUUGAAUGGGUUUUCCUUACACACUGAGUUUCCCCAAACUCACCCCUUUUAUUUUCAUCCACGCAGGAAAUCCCCAACCGUAGUGGGCUUGGAGCUGUGAGGGAAAUCGGAGUGGCCACCCGUUCUGAAAGUUUGGUUUUCUUCUGGUGAACUGGACAUCCUUUUAUUUACGUUUGAAGUUUUGGGAUUUUAAAUGUAAUAAGGCCGCUUAAUUAUUUUUGAUGGUUUUAAUAUGUAUUGCUAAGAUAGGUAUUACUUAUUUUAACUGUUGAAAUUGGAUAGCUUUAGGGCGCGUUUUCAAAAAUAACAAUUGAUUUCAAAAUAACAUGACAACAAGCAAAGCUUCCGUAAUGAAAGUAUUUUCCAAAAUUAAUCCCUUUUCCUAAAAAUGACAUAAUCAAAUCGGUUUCCUAGAAAUAUCCAUGACGUUAAGGUGUGGCAAUGGCGGUAUGCAUGUCUAGGAUUGGAUCCGAAAUGAGCUUGGUACUUAAGCAGUCCGAUGGACUCACCACCUCUUUUUCAGUUUCCUACCUGGUGCACAGCUUCCAUGCACUUUAACCUAUAAUGAAAUUAUCUUUUAAAACACUAAGUAGGUUUUUCUGGAUCAACAAUAUAAAAUAUUUUGAACGCUUCGAUGUGGCAUGUCGGAUCCGGCCAUAACGUCUGGGCCGGGUUUGGGGUGUUACAUUCAGUGGUAUCAGAGCUUAGGUUGCAAUAACUCGGCUGUGGAAUGGGUUUACAAAAAUAAAGAUUUUCAAAAAAAAUUAUAAAGAUUACAAAAAACGCGAUUUUCAAAAUUUAGAUCUUUAGUAGGUGGCAUUCCGAAUCUUCGGCUCAAGUCUAUAAGUAUUCUGAAUAUUUCUGAAUAUUUUCCUGAAUUAUCUGUCUGUACUAAAAUCCUGCUAGGAUACUCUAGAUAGGAUGAUACUGAAACCAUAGGAAAAUUUGAUAAGAGAUCGAAACUGUAGCUAGACUCCGAUUCUACGAAAACAAACUCUGAAUUAUUGUCUGAUUCAUAAAACAUCCGUAAUAAACACUGGAAUAUUGAAUUAAUGCAUAAAAAUUCGUAAUCAGAUAAUACAAUAUGAGUACAAGAGCCGCUCAUGGAAGAGGCUGUGGACGAGGCCGAGGUAGUACUCAUGUUGGAUCUUCGUCUUCUGAACACAUACCCGCUGGAGUGGCACGACCACCAUCGGUGGAUGAGAAUGGGCCGUAUGAUCAGGCCGCGGAGGAUGAUGCCCUGUCACAGGCAAUACUUCGUGUUCUGGAAAGGGUUGCCGGGGCAAGUACGGGCAAUGGAGUUCGGGGAUCUAUUUCUGAACGACUUCGGGCUAGCGGAGCGGAAAUCUUUAAGGGUGUGUCUGGUAUCGCCUCGAAUGUGGCAGAAUAUUGAUUGGAGGCCACAAAACGGAUUAUGGACAACUUGGACUGCUCUGAGGAGAUUGUGAGUGGGGUAUCUGUACUAAGUACUUUGGGUCACUCAGUUAGGGUAGACAAACUGUAUAGGGAUGUACCCUUAGAAACUCAAGGUAGGAUUUUCCCUAGAGAUCUGAUGGAGUUACCGUUCGGAGAGUUUGAUCUCAUUUUGGGAAUGGACUGGUUUGUUAAGCAUAAGGUGACCCUGGAUUGUGCUGCUAAACGAAUGGUGUUAUGGAUCACAAAGGAUGAGGAGGUUAUGGUGAUAGGUGAGCUAAGGGAUUAUUUGUCCAAUGUGGUGUCGGCAUUAAGAGUCGAGAAGUGGAUUCGGAAAGGUUGUGAGGCCUAUUUGGCAUUUGUAAGUCUGUCGGAAGAGGAGGGACUGACAGUGGAUAAGGUUAGGACUGUAAAGGAGUUCCAAGAUGUUUUUUUAGAGGAGCUUCCAGGAUUGCCUCCGAACCGAGAAGUGGAGUUUGGAAUCGACUUAUUACCUGGAACGGCACCAGUGUCUAUCUCACCGUAUAGAAUGGCACCGAAGGAGUUGGUGGAGCUAAAGGCACAAAUUCAAGAGUUGUUGGAUAGGGGCUUCAUUAGGCCAAGCGUGUCUCCAUGGGGAGCACCGGUGCUAUUCGUGAAAAAGAAGGAUGGUACGAUGCGGAUGUGCAUUGAUUAUCGCCAGUUGAACAAACUGACGAUUAAGAAAUCCACUGCCAAGGAUUGAUGAUCUGUUCGACCAGCUUAGAGGAGCUUCUAUAUUUUCCAAGAUCGACCUUCGAUCUGGAUAUCAUCAGUUAAGGGUCAAGGAGGUAGAUAUCCAUAAGACAGCAUUUAGUACUCGGUAUGGUCAUUACGAGUUUCUGGUUAUGCCAUUUGGACUGACCAACGCUCCUGCAGCGUUUAUGGAUCUGAUGAAUCAUGUGUUCCAACCAUUUUUAGAUCAGUUCGUAGUCGUCUUUAUUGAUGAUAUCCUGGUAUAUUCUGAAACUGAAGCGAAACAUGAUGAGCAUCUCCGUAUAGUGCUGCGAGUGUUAAAAGAGAAGGAACUCUGCGCAAAGUUCAGCAAGUGUGAAUUUUGGUUGAGGGAGGUAACCUUCUUAGGACAUGUGGUCUCUGCCAAAGGGAUUAAGAUGGACCCUCGAAAGAUUGAAGCAAUUUUGGAGUGGAAGCCACCUAGGACGGCGUCGAAAAUUCGAAGCUUCCUAGGGUUGGCAGGAUACUACAGAAGGUUUGUGGAAGGUUUUUCAGUGAUGGCAGCACCUCUGACAAAACUCAUAAGGAAAGGGGUACCGUUUGUAUGGACUGAGAAGCAGCAGGAAGCUUUUGAGAAGUUGAAGAAAGUUCUGACUGAAGCACCUGUGUUGAUUCAGCCGGAGUUUGGGAAGGAUUUUACUGUGUACAGUGACGCAUCACACGUGGGUUUGGGCUGCGUGUUAAUGCAGGAGGGUAAGGUGGUUGCAUAUACAUCACGAUAGCUUAAACCUCACGAAGGGAACUAUCCUACUCAUGAUAGGGAGUUGGCGGCAGUGAUAUUUGCACUUAAGAUUUGGAGACAUUACUUGUACGGGGAGAGGUGUAUUAUAUACACAGACCACAAGAGUCUUAAGUAUUUGUUGACUCAGAAGGAGCUGAACCUUAGGCAAAGGAGAUGGAUUGAGUUACUUAAGGAUUAUGACUGUUCGAUCGAGUAUCACCCAGGCAAGGCUAAUGUGGUAGCCGAUGCUUUAAGUCGUAGAAUCGUAUCUGAUCUGAGAGCAAUGUUUGCUCGUUUGAGUCUAUAUGAUGAUGGCAGUUUGUUGGCUGAAUUGCAAGUAAGGCCAACCUGGGUGGACCAGAUUAAGGAAAAGCAAUUAGAAGAUGAGUCUUUGGUUGCUCAUUUUCAACAAGUUAAGGAAGGGGAAACUUCUGAGUUCGGUUUAAAUGGUGAUGGAGUUUUGUGUUUUCGAGGAAGAAUUUGUGUUCCGAGGGACUCUGAUUUGACGCAGACAAUAUUGAAGGAAGCUCAUGGGGGACUAUGUGCCAUGCAUCCUGGAGGGAAUAAGUUGUAUCACGACUUACAAGAAUUGUACUGGUGGCCUGGACUUAAACGAGAAGUAACGGAGUUUGUAGAGAAAUGUCUGACAUGCCAGCAAGUGAAAGCUGAGCAUCAAUUACCCUCUGGACAGUUACAGUCAGUGAAGAUAUCACUUUGGAAGUGGGAGAGGGUAACCAUGGACUUUGUGAGUGGGCUGCCCUUGACACCAUCAAAGAAAGACUCCGUGUGGGUGAUUGUGGAUAGGUUGACCAAAUCAGCCCAUUUCAUACCUGUUCGUACUGACUUUUCACUUCAAAACUUAGCCAAGUUGUAUGUGGCGGAGAUUGUGCGAAUUCAUGGAGUCCCAGUUCAAUUAUUUCUAAUCGGGAUCCUAGAUUUACAUCUCGGUUUUGGCAAAGGUUGCAUGAGGCGUUGGGGACGCGAUUGAAUUUUAGUACGGCUUUCCAUCCCCAGACUGAUGGUCAAUUAGAAAGGGUUAUUCAGAUUCUGGAGGACAUGUUGAGGGGAUGCAUGAUUGACUUUCAAGGUAGUUGGGAGGAUUACUUGCCGUUGGCAGAAUUUGCAUACAGUAACAGUUACCAGGUGAGUAUUCGAAUGGCACCGUAUGAAGCACUGUAUGGACGAAGGUGUCGUACACCUAGUUGUUGGACCGAACUAGGAGAGCGACAAGUUCUUGGACCAGUGUUGGUAGCUGAUACUGAGGAUAAGGUCAGAAUAAUUAAGGACCGAUUAAAAGAAGCAUCUGAUAGGCAAAAGUCGUAUGCAGAUUUGAAGCGUAAGGAGAUUGAGUACCCAGUAGGUGAUAUGGUCUUCUUAAAGGUUUCUCCUUGGAAGAAGAUAUUAAGGUUCGGUAAGAAGGGCAAGUUGAGUCCGCGGUUCAUUGGGCCUUAUCGCAUUUUGAAGCGAGUAGGCCCAAUGGCUUAUCAGUUGGAAUUGCCUCCAGAGUUAGACAGGAUUCACGAUGUUUUUCACGUCUCCAUGUUAAGGCGUUAUCGUUCUGACCCUGCUCAUGUCCUGCCAGUUGCAGAAAUUGAAGUUCAGACUGAUUUGACCUUUGAGGAGGAGCCUGUGCAAAUAUUGGCUCGAGAUGUUAAGGUUCUCAGAAGGAAAUCUGUCCCGUUAGUGAAAGUGCUUUGGCGUAAUCAUGGAAGGGAAGAAGCUACUUGGGAAUCAGAAGAGACUAUGCGUCAACAAUACCCUCAACUAGUUGGAUCAGGUAAAUUUCGAGGACGAAAUUUCUUUAAGGAGGGUAGAGUUGUAACGCCCCAAUUUUCGGGAAUUAUGUGAAUGUUGGCAUAGGUUUAAUUAUGUUAGUGGGCCUCUAGAAGGCCCAAGCUUAAGAUAGAACCCGACAAUUUUAGUUAAUUUUUGUUCCAUAAUAAAAAUGGGGUGAAAUUAUGAAAAUGUUUGAAAAUGCUAUAGGCUAAAUUGAAGUGGCCAAAUAAAUAGGAGUGCAAAAUAGGAGGAUUUGCAUGACAAACCUCCCAUUUUACAUGAAGUGGCCAGCCACCAUGUUGUUGUAGACAAAAUGUGCACUUGAUAUCCAUAAUUUAUGGUACAAAUUGAUACAAAUUGAUAAUGGGUUAGGUAAAUGUUCCAUGAUAAUGGGUUAGGUAAAUGUUUCAUGAUAAUGGGUUAGGUAAAUGUUCCAUGAUAAUGGGUUAGGUAAAUGUUCCAUGAUGGGAAUUUCAUGUCUUUUGUAUUAAAGAAUUAAAUGGAUGAAAUAUGAAAUUUUAUUUUAAAAAAAAGGGUGAAAAGAACAAAGUUUUGUCCAUCUUUGUUCACCAUAGCGUAAAGUUAGAGAAGAGAAAGGAGAGGAGAAAGCUCUUGAAUGUUCGGUCACUUGGGGAAGAAAAUUGAAGGUAAGUUCAUGGUAGUUUGCUUCUAUCUUGAGGUUCAUGAGUUCUUCUUGAUUCUACCUUAACUCUUGAAGCAUAUUUUGGUUUUUAGUUGUGUUGUGAGCAUUUAGUCAUGAAUUAAAAUGAAGGAAAUGGUUGUUGUUUCAUGUUCUUUUGAUGAAAAAUGGAAGAUAGGUGAAGUUGAGCCAAACAAAUGAGCAUGCAUGUGCCUUAGAUGCUAAAGGGAAAAAUAGGCUAACAUGUUGUGCUUUAAAAUGAUGAAAUGGAGAUUAUACUUAAGUAAAAUCUUAUAUAUGUGAUGACUGAUUGGUGAUAUACAUGUUUAAAUAACAUGCAUGCAAGGUAUGUGUGAAAGAGUGAUUUGGUAAUAAAUAUGCUUGGGACAGCAGCAGUAACGUGACUAUGGAAAAUCACCAUAAAUAGUCAGAGAUGAAUUAGAAGCUGAAUAAAUUAUGUAAUUAAAGCUUAAUGAGUCUAGUUUCAAAUGAAAUAAACGAGAACAUAUUUUGAAUCCUGUACAAUGAGAAAUUUGAUUUGUAAUGAAUAGUGGUCAGAUUAGUCAAACAGUGAAACAUGCGAAACUUUGAGAAAAAUCUGGUAUUGAUUGGAUAAACCAAAAAUUCUGAAACUUUUAUGGAUAGAAUAUAUAUGAGUCUAUUUUCAGGUAAAAUUAACGGCACUUGAUUUGGAGUUUCGUAGCUCCAGUUAUAAAUGAUUUAGUGACUGUUGCUCAGGAAGACAGCUUGCAGUGAAAUUAUGAUUAUGUGGUAAACACUGACAAAAAUUUGUUAAUGAGUUGCUUAUUGAUUUCUUAUAAGCUUACUCUGAUCUGUAGGUGUGGAUGGCAGAAUAUUGUAAGGGGUUAAUACGUAUUUCUUAUUUGAAUAGUUAGAUUAAUGUGUUAGUAAUCCAAUUGUAGGUAGUUCGUGUGUGGAUCUCGUCAGCAUAUCGUCGCAAACAGAUGUGUAACUAACACCCUCUUUCUUAGUCUGGAUCGGCAAAAGUCGAAAAGCCGAAAUGCCGAAAACCGAUAUUUUGUAGAUUUGCGAGUGUUCAAAUGCUCGUGAGGUAAAUCGAUUAAUGUUUUUGGUAAGCUGCAAAAUUUGGACUGCAAAAUUUGGACUGCAAAGUGCAUGAUUUCUGUGCCCUCGAUAUUUUUGGGCUUAAUGGGCCAAAAAUUGGAAUGAUGGGCCAACGGGACCAAUUCGGUAAGAACCCUCAGUAUAUGAUUCUGGUAGUACGUAAGAAGUAGGAAUAUGCAUGAAAAACCCUAAAAUAGAUAAAUUACUGAAAUACCUUUAAAAGUGGAAAAUUUACAGUUUUACCCCUAGUAGAUAAAUUACCGAAAUACCCCUAGGGUUAAAUUGACCUAAAUGCAUGUGUGACUGUUGUUAAUUACUGCAUGCCAUGUUGUUAUUAUCUGAUGCAUGGGAUUGGGAUAUUGACGGAGGAAGUACUAAAAGUGGCUUGUCCACGUACUGGAGGCUUUGCCUCAAUUUACUGUUAACUGAGCAGCAAUGCUGCAACUGUGGAGUGUUGGGCUGGGUGGGUUGAGCUAUUCCCCACAUGGAGUGUAGGGCUGGUACGGGUGGAGUGUAGUGGUUGGUGGGCUGAGUAAUCUCCCCAAAUGGGCUUGAAUAUGUUAUUGAUGUUGCAUGUAUUUUGAAAUGGGCCUAUAGGCCAUACUGUUAUCUGAAUAAGGGGCUAAGGCCCAGUUUAUUGUAAUCUGAAAAGGGCUCUGGUCCAGUACCACUGUUACCUGAAUGGGCUUAGGCCCAAUAGGCUUGAGCUGACUUGGGCUUUGAAUGGGUUUUCCUUACACACUGAGUUUCCCCAAACUCACCCCUUUUAUUUUCAUCCACGCAGGAAAUCCCCAACCGUAGUGGGCUUGGAGCUGUGAGGGAAUUCGGAGUGGCCACCCGUUCUGAAAGUUUGGUUUUCUUCUGGUGAACUGGACAUCCUUUUAUUUACGUUUGAAGUUUUGGGAUUUUAAAUGUAAUAAGGCCGCUUAAUUAUUUUUGAUGGUUUUAAUAUGUAUUGCUAAGAUAGGUAUUACUUAUUUUAACUGUUGAAAUUGGAUAGCUUUAGGGCGCGUUUUCAAAAAUAACAAUUGAUUUCAAAAUAACAUGACAACAAGCAAAGCUUCCGCAAUGAAAGUAUUUUCCAAAAUUAAUCCCUUUUCCUAAAAAUGACAUAAUCAAAUUGGUUUCCUAGAAAUAUCCAUGACGUUAAGGUGUGGCAAUGGCGGUAUGCAUGUCUAGGAUUGGAUCCGAAAUGAGCUUGGUACUUAAGCAGUCCGAUGGACUCACGACCUCUUUUUCGGUUUCCUACCUGGUGCACAGCUUCCAUUCACUUUAACCUAUAAUGAAAUUAUCUUUUAAAACACUAAGUAGGUUUUUCUGGAUUAACAAUAUAAAAUAUUUUAAACGCUUCGAUGUGGCAUGUCGGAUCCGGCCAUAACGUCUGGGCCGGGUUUGGGGUGUUACAUUUAGUGGUAUCAGAGCCUAGGUUGCAAUAACUCAGCUGUGGAAUGGGUUUACAAAAACAAAGAUUUUCAAAAAAAAAUAUAAAGAUUGCAAAAAACGCGAUUUUCAAAUUUUAGAUCUUUAGAAGGUGGCAUUCCGAAUCUCCGGCUCAAGUCUGUAAGUAUUCUGAAUAUUUCUGAAUAUUUUCCUGAAUUAUCUGUCUGUACUAAAAUCCUGCUAGGAUAUUCUAGAUAGGAUGAUACUGAAACCAUAGGAAAAUUUGAUAAGAGACUGACUCUGUAGCUAGACUCUGAUUCUGCAAAAACAAACUCUGAAUUAUUGUCUGAUUUAUAAAACAUCCGUAAUAAACACUGGAAUAUUGAAUUAAUGCAUAAAAUUCGUAAUCAGAUAAUACAAUAUGAGUACAAGAGCCGCUCGUGGAAGAGGCCAUGGACGAGGCCGAGGUAGUACUCAUGUUGGAUCUUCGCCUUCUGAACACAUACCCGCUGGAGUAGCACGACCACCAUCGGUCGAUGAGAAUGGGCCGUAUGAUCGGGCAGCGGAGGAUGAUGCCCUAUCACAGGCAAUACUUCGUGUUCUGGAAAGGGUUGCCGGGGCAAGUACGGGCAAUGGAAUUCGGGGAUCUAUUUCUGAACGACUUCGGUCUAGCGGAGCGGAGAUCUUUAGGGGCGUGUCUGGUAUCACCUCGAAUGUGGCAAAAUAUUGAUUGGAGGCCACAAAACGGAUUAUGGACAACUUGGACUGCUCUGAGGAGAUUGUGAGUGGGGUAUCUGUACUAAGUACUUUGGGUCACUCGGUUAGGGUAGACAAACUGUAUAGGGAUGUACCCUUAGAAACUCAAGGUAGGAUUUUCCCUGGAGAUCUGAUGGAGUUACCGUUCGGAGAGUUUGAUCUCAUUUUGGGAAUGGACUGGUUUGUUAAGCAUAAGGUGAACCUGGAUUGUGCUGCUAAACGAAUGGUGUUAAGGAUCACAAAGGAUGGGGAGGUUAUGGUGAUAGGUGAGCUAAAAGAUUAUUUGUCCAAUGUGGUGUCGGCAUUACGAGCCGAGAAGUGGAUUCGGAAAGGUUGUGAGGCCUAUUUGGCAUUUGUUAGUCAGUCGGAAGAGGAGGGACUGACAGUGGAUAAGGUUAGGACUGUAAAGGAGUUCCAAGAUGUUUUUUCGGAGGAGCUUCCAGGAUUGCCUCCGAACCAAGAAGAGGGGUUUGGAAUCGACUUAUUUCCUGGAACAGCACCAGUGUCUAUCGCACCGUAUAGAAUGGCACCGAAGGAGUUGGUGGAGCUAAAGGCACAAAUUCAGGAGUUGUUGGAUAGGGGCUUCAUUAGGCCAAGCGUGUCUCCAUGGGGAGCACCGGUGCUAUUUGUGAAAAAGAAGGAUGGUACGAUGCGGAUGUGCAUUGAUUAUCGCCAGUUGAUAAACUGACGAUUAAGAAUAAGUAUCCACUGCCAAGGAUUGAUGAUCUGUUCGACUAGCUUAGAGGAGCUUCUGUAUUUUCCAAGAUCGACCUUCGAUCUGGAUAUCAUCAGUUAAGGGUCAAGGAGGCAGAUAUCCAUAAGACAGCAUUCAGGACUCGGUAUGGUCAUUACGAGUUUCUGGUUAUGCCAUUUGGAUUGACCAACGCUCCUGCAACGUUUAUGGAUCUAAGGAAUCAUGUGUUCCAACCAUUUUUAGAUCAGUUCGUAGUCGUCUUUAUUGAUGAUAUCCUGGUAUAUUCUGAAACUGAAGCGAAACAUGUUGAGCAUCUCUGUAUAGUGCUGCGAGUGUUAAAAGAGAAGGAACUCUGUGCAAAGUUUAGCAAGUGUGAAUUUUGGUUGAGGGAGGUAACCUUCUUAGGACAUGUGGUCUCUGCCGAAGGGAUUAAGAUGGACCCUCGAAAGAUUGAAGCAAUUUUGGAGUGGAAGCCACCUAGGACGAUGUCGAAAAUUUGAAGCUUCCUAGGGUUGGCAGGAUACUACAGAAGGUUUGUGGAAGGUUUUUCAGUGAUGACAGCACCUCUAACAAAACUCAUAAGGAAAGGGGUACCGUUUGUAUGGACUGAGAAGCAGCAGGAAGCUUUUGAGAAGUUGAAGAAAGUUCUGACUUAAGCACCUGUGUUGAUUCAGCCGGAGUCUGGGAAGGAUUUUAUUGUGUACAGUGACGCAUCACACGUGCGUUUGGGCUACGUGUUAAUGCAGGAGGGUAAGGUGGUUGCAUAUGCGUCACGAUAGCUUAAACCUCACAAGGGGAACUACCCUACUCAUGAUUGGGAGUUGGCGACAGUGAUAUUUGCACUUAAGAUUUGGAGACAUUACUUGUACGGGGAGAGGUGUAUUAUAUACAAAGACCACAAGAGUCUUAAGUAUUUGUUGACUCAGAAGGAGCUGAACCUUAGGCAAAGGAGAUGGAUUGAGUUACUUAAGGAUUAUGACUGUUCGAUCGAGUAUCACCCAGGCAAGGCUAAUGUGGUAGCCGAUGCUUUAAGUCGUAGAAUCGUAUCUGAUCUGAGAGCAAUGUUUGCUCGUUUGAGUCUGUAUGAUGAUGGCAGUUUGUUGGCUGAAUUGCAAGUAAGGCCAACCUGGGUGGACCAGAUUAAAGAAAAGCAGUUAGAAGAUGAGUUUUGGUUGCUCAUUUUCAACAAGUUAAGGAAGGGAAAACUUCUGAGUUCGGUUUAAAUGGUGAUGGAGUUCUGUGUUUCCGAGGAAUAAUUUGUGUUCCGAGGGACUCUGAUUUGACGCAGACAAUAUUGAAGGAAGCUCAUGGGGGACUAUGUGCCAUGCAUCCUGGAGGGAAUAAGUUGUAUCACGACUUACAAGAAUUGUACUGGUGGCCUGGACUUAAACGAGAAGUAACGGAGUUUGUAGGGAAAUGUCUGACAUGCCAGAAAGUGAAAGCUGAGCAUCAAUUACCCUCUGGACUGUUACAGUCAGUGAAGAUAUCACUUUGGAGGUGGGAGAGGGUAACCAUGGACUUUGUGAGUGGGCUGCCCUUGACACCAUCAAAGAAAGACUCCGUGUGGGUGAUUGUGGGUAGGUUGACCAAAUCGGCCCAUUUCAUACCUGUUCUACUGACUUUUCACUUCAAAAGUUAGCCAAGUUGUAUGUGGCGGAGAUUGUGCGACUUCAUGGAGUCCCAGUUUAAUUAUUUCUGAUCGGGAUACUAAAUUUACAUCUCGGUUUUGGCAAAGGUUGCAUGAGGCGUUGGGGACGCGGUUGAAUUUUAGUACGGCUUUCCAUCCCCAGACUGAUGGUCAAUCAGAAAGGGUUAUUCAGAUUCUGGAGGACAUGUUGAGGGGAUGCGUGAUUGACUUUCGAGGUAGUUGGGAGGAUUACUUGCUGUUGGCAGAAUUUGCAUACAAUAACAGUUACCAGGUGAGUAUUCGAAUGGCACCGUAUGAAGCAUUGUAUGGACGAAGGUGUCGUACACCUAGUUGUUGGACCGAACUAGGAGAGCGACAAGUUCUUGGACCAGUGUUGGUAGCUGAUACUGAGGAUAAGGCAGAAUAAUUAAUGACCGGUUAAAAGAAGCAUCUGAUAGGCAAAAGUCGUAUGCAGAUUUGAAGUGUAAGGAGAUUGAGUACCCAGUAGGUGAUAUGGUCUUCUUAAAGGUUUCUCCUUGGAAAAAGAUAUUAAGGUUCGGUAAGAAGGGCAAGUUGAGUCCGAGGUUCAUUGGGCCUUAUCGCUUUUUGAAGCGAGUAGGCCCAAUGGCUUAUCAGUUGGAAUUGCCUCCAGAGUUAGACAGGAUUCACGAUGUUUUUCACGCCUCCAUGUUAAGGCUUUAUCGUUCUGACCCUGCUCAUGUCCUGCAAGUUGCAGAAAUUGAAGUUCGGACUGAUUUGACCUUUGAGGAGGAGCCUGUGCAAAUAUUGGCUCAAGAUGUUAAAGUUCUCAGAAGGAAAUCUGUCCCGUUAGUGAAAGUGCUUUGGCGUAAUCAUGGAAGGGAAGAAGCUACUUGGGAAUUAGAAGAGACUAUGCGUCAACAAUACCCUCAACUAGUUGGAUCAGGUAAAUUUCGAGGACGAAAUUUCUUUAAGAAGGGUAGAGUUGUAACGCCCCAAUUUUCGGGAAUUCUGUGAAUGUUGGCAUAGGUUUAAUUAUGUUAGUGGGCCUCUAAAAGGCCCAAGCUUAAGAUAGAACUCGACAAUUUUAGUUAAUUUUUGUUCCAUAAUAAAAAUGGGGUGAAAUUAUGAAAUAGAACCUAGGUGAAAAUGUUUGAAAAUGCUAUAGGCUAAAUUGGAGUGGUCAAAUAAAUAGGAGUGCAAAAUAGGAGGAUUUGCAUGACAAACCUCCCAUUUUAUAUGAAGUGGCCAGCCACCAUGUUGUUGUAGACAAAAUGUGCACUUGAUAUCCUUAAUUUAUGGUACAAAUUGAUACAAAUUGAUAAUAGGUUAGGUAAAUGUUCCAUGAUAAUGGGUUAGGUAAAUGUUUCAUGAUAAUGGGUUAGGUAAAUGUUCCAUGAUAAUGGGUUAGGUAAAUGUUCCAUGAUGGGAAUUUCAUGUCUUUUGUAUUAAAGAAUUAAAUGGAUGAAAUAUGAAAUUUUAUUUAAAAAAAAAGGGUGAAAAGAACAAAGUUUUGUCCAUCUUUGUUCAUCAUAGCGUAAAGUUAGAGAAGAGAAAGGAGAGGAGAAAGCUCUUGAAUGUUCGGUCACUUGGGGAAGAAAAUUGAAGGUAAGUUCAUGGUAGUUUGCUUCUAUCUUGAGGUUCAUGAGUUCUUCUUGAUUCUACCUUAACUCUUGAAGCAUAUUUUGGUUUUAGUUGUGUUGUGAGCAUUUAGUCAUGAAUUAAAAUGAAGGAAAUGGUUGUUGUUUCAUGUUCUUUUGAUGAAAAAUGGAAGAUAGGUGAAGUUGAGCCAAACAAAUGAGCAUGCAUGUGCCUUAGAUGCUAAAGGGAAAAAUAGGCUAACAUGUUGUGCUUUAAAAUGAUGAAAUGGAGAUUAUACUUAAGUAAAAUCUUAUAUAUGUGAUGACUGAUUGGUGAUAUACAUGUUUAAAUAACAUGCAUGCAAGGUAUGUGUGAAAGAGUGAUUUGGUAAUAAAUAUGCUUGGGACAGCAGCAGUAACGUGACUUUGGAAAAUCACCAUAAAUUUUCAGAGAUGAAUUAGAAGCUGAAUAAAUUAUGUAAUUAAAGCUUAAUGAGUCUAGUUUCAAAUGAAAUAAACGAGAACAUAUUUUGAAUUAUGUACAAUGAGAAAUUUGAUUUGUAAUGAAGAGUGGUCAGAUUAGUCAAACAGUGAAACAUGCGAAACUUUGAGAAAAAUCUGGUAUUGAUUGGAUAAACCAAAAAUUCUGAAAAUUUUAUGGAUAGUAUAUAUAUGAGUCUAUUUUCAGGUAAAAUUAACGGCACUUGAUUUGGAGUUUCGUAGCUCUAGUUAUAAAUGAUUUAGUGACUGUUGCUCAGGAAGAAAGCUUGCAGUGAAAUUAUGAUUAUGUGGUAAACACUGACAAAAAUUUGUUAAUGAGUUGCUUAUUGAUUUCUUAUAAGCUUACUCUGAUCUGUAGGUGUGGUUGGCCGAAUAUUGUAAGGGGUUAAUACGUAUUUCUUAUUUGAAUAGUUAGAUUAAUGUGUUAGUAAUCCAAUUGUAGGCAGUUCGUGUGUGGAUCUCGUCAGCAUAUCGUCGCAAACAGAUGUGUAACUAACACCCUCUUUCUUAGUCUGGAUCGGCAAAAGUCGAAAAGCUGAAAUGCCGAAAACUGGUAUUUUGUAGAUUUGCGAGUGUGCGAAUGCUCGUGAGGUAAAUCGAUUAAUGUUUUUGGUAAGCUGCAAAAUUUGGACUGCAAAGUGCAUGAUUUCUGUGCCCUCGAUAUUUUUGGGCUUAGUGGGCCAAAAAUUGGAAUGAUAGGCCAACAGGCCCAAUUCGGGAAGAACCCUCGGUACGUGAUUCUGUUAGUACGUGAAAAGUAGGAAUAUGCAUGAAAAACCCUAAAAUAGAUAAAUUACUGAAAUACCUUUAAAAGUGGAAAUUUUACAGUUUUACCCCUAUUAGAUAAAUUACUGAAAUACCCCUAGGGUUAAAUUGACCUAAAUGCAUGUUUGACUGUUGUUAAUUACUGCAUGCCAUGUUGUUAUUAUCUGAUGCAUGGGAUUGGGAACAUCUAGCUUUCCAGUAGAUUCUGUAUGAUAUGAGAACGUCUGUGAGUAGCCAACAUCUGUAUCAGUAGCUGAGUCAAUCGAAAGAAGGGCUUCUGAAUUAGCUGAGGAAACCGCCCAGCAAUUCCUCUACAUCAAGAGCGGGCUCUGCCGUAAGGAAUUUGAUGUCAACACUUAACUUAGAUAGAGAUCUUGCUGUAAACACAAGAAGUACACGAAAAAUUUUGAGUUGGGGUACCAAAAAGAGGGGUUUGAUAAAAAUUUCACUCAGAUCGGAGUGCAAUAAUUACUGUCCUGCAGCUCAAGUGGUAGAUAUGCCCAAAGCGAAGAGGUCGGAGGGAAUACACCCCGGAAAGUCCUCCCUUUGAUAAGAGUCAGUUUUGCUACUCGUACUAGAAUUCUAUUCUUGACUGGAUCGUGAGCAUAUAUGAAAUCAAUCGAAAGCAUUGGUACCACCCCCUUGGUUGGAAUGACUCUGUCUCACUGGCAGGCACGCAAACUCCCAUCGUGUCCCAGAUCACAUUCCGUGAAUCGAAAGGGGAAGCCUACUCAUCCAUCAGCUCCUCUCGUAGACCGGUGCGGUUUUACGAAGCGUCUAAGCACAGUUCACUCGCGUUGAUCAAUCAAGAGCUUUGCCGCCACUCCUUAAGGUUACCUGCUGUAUCAAACACUUCUUGCAUUGUUUCCCACGCUUCAUACCCCCUCUUUCUUCUUAAGGUAAGGUAAAGGGCCGGGCAUGGUGGGGUAGGAGCACCCUGUCGGAAAGAUUUUUGGCUUGACCAAGAAGUUGACCAGGCCUUGUAGAAGCGAAGAUCGAUGUCCGUCCCAGUCUCAUUCAACCAGGACCGUGGACCUACUCCUUUCAUGCCUCACCCAAAAUACAUCCACUCUGUAAGGGGAUUCUAAGAGAACUCUUGUCUAGGAGUCAAAAAGAGGUGGAACUUAUAUUCUAUAUAUAAGCUAUUUCGCGCUGAGCGAGGCUGCUUUCCCUCCUAACUAACGAGUAAGAAGUCAAACCAGAUAUUAAUUGAAGGUCGCAGAUCAGCUGUUAGGAAGGGAAGGUUGAGAAAUCGCAUAUCAGCUGUUGUCUAGAUAGAUAGAAUAAUAUCUUUCAUGUCGCAUAUCCGCUUUUCUUUAAUGGAUGGAAAGAGGGGCGGAGUUACUGGAGGAUGCGAUGGAGGGGAAGGAAUGAGAAUAACCGAAUUCGGCUACCUCUCCCACUCAUCAAGGCAGACAUAAGAAGCUAAACUAUUUCCAAGGGAGACCGGGUCCGCUAUGCCCCUUCACCUACUAAAGGAUCCGUACUGGAGGCUUUGCCUCAAUUUACUGUUAACUGAGCAGCAAUGCUACAACUGUGGAGUGUUGGGCUGGGUGGGUUGAGCUAUUCCCCACAUGGAGUGUAGGGCUGGUACGGGUGGAGUGUAGUGGUUGGUGGGUUGAGUAGUCUCCCCAAAUGGGCUUGAAUAUGUUAUUGAUGUUGCAUGUAUUUUGAAAUGGGCCUAUAGGCC